GUUGAUUUUCAGAAACAUUGAAGGACGAAAGAAAUGGCAGAUCUGCCAAUCUAUUUGGAAUCGUCCCAGACAACCUGUUUGAAGAUAGGUCCAACCAUUCAAGACUUGUCAAAUUCCCUAUUGAGGUGGGGAUAUCACCAAUAAGGUUAUUAUGAGAAAGGUUGAGCCCUUUCAGUAAGUUAAGCUUCCCAAUAACCUUUGGAAUACCCCUUUCAAACUGAUUGUUUGAUAGAUCAAUGAUCAUCCACAUGGUGAAAAUUUUCACCAAUUCCCUAUCUUGUCCUUUCAUAACAAUUCCAAUGGAAUAGGUAUAGAAGCCAACUCCAUAAUCAUGCACCCCCAUGUAUGACACUGUACUACCAAUCUUCUCUAGAUUUAUGAUAGCCUUGAAGCUGUUGAUGUAUCUCACUGGUAGGGGUCCAGAAAAAUAAUUACUUGAGAGAUCAAAAAUUUGGAUUUUAGAGAAAAAAGGGAUAGACUUGGAGCUAUUGACACAUAAGGAACCAUGCAGUUGAUUUGACUUCAAUACAAGAACUUGUAGCUGUGGAAGACUUCCCAACCAGUGAGGAAAUGUAUCAUUGAUCUUGUUGUUACCAAGAUCUAGCACUUCCAGACCUCUACAAUUAAGGAUGGAUGGUGUCAAAGGCCCUUCUAACAGAUUUCCAUUUAAGUUGAAAUUACUCAAUCGGCAUCCCUUUGCAAAUGCUGGAGGAAUCGUCCCAUAAUACUUGUUCUUCUUCAGAUUCAAGAAUAGAAGGCUGUUGCUCAAAUUUCCAAAACAUUGUGGAAUUGUUCCACUCAAGUUAUUGUGGGACAAAUCAAGAAUUUCAAGAAAAGCGGCAUUGCAUAUUAAAGAAGAGACCUCUCCAUUGAAACUAUUAUUUGAGAUCAAAAAGACUCUUAUGGUCGAAGCUGGAAUCGGAAGAUUUCCACUGAUCAAAUUGGAGCUUAAGUCAAGAACAUCAAUAUUCUUCCAUGGAAAGUGCUCAACUUCUGUCAAAGUGUUGUGAGAUACAUUUAAGUGAGUCAAAGAGCCAUUCCCCACCUCUCGCAUCCACUGUGGAAUCUUGCCUUCAAUUUUGUUGCAAGAGAGGUGUUGAAGUAAUGGUCAGCAUGCAGCAACCAAGACUGUCAAAGGCACUACAUGCAGAAGCUGCUGGUUCACCUAGUCAGCAAGCUGUUUAUGUUUCAUUUUGUAAUUUUAAGUUAGAGUAAUGUAACUUAGUUGCUUUAUAACUAUGUUAGGUUUAUGUUUGAUGUAAUUUUGAUGUUGACUGAGCUGAUAAAUCAGCUUUGUUUGUUUAUUCAAGCUAAUUAGCACAAGUUACUAUGUGUAUUAGUGGUAGUAGGUGAAGUUUAGGUCAACCUACUGUUUUGUCAAGAUUGUAAACUUGUUUUAUGUAUUGGCUUUGUGCCAUAUUUAGUUUGAUGAAUGAAUUCAAGAAGUUAUCAUCCAUAUGCUCUCCAUUUUUAGUUUUGCUUAAAAAUCCAUUUGAGUUUUCUGCUUUGUUUCUCCUACAAGUCACGAGACUUGCCAUACAAGCAUUCUGCUGAAGCUUGCUGCUGCUGCCUCUUGCACCAACAAUUGGUAUCUAGAGCCACAUUCUUAGAGGACCUGUUGUAGUUCAGUAUCAAAACGAUGGCAUCAUCAGGUUUUUCACCAGCUUCACCACCUGUCUUCAAUGGAGAGGGCUUCAACAUUUGGGCAGUUAAGAUGAGGACUUACCUGCAGGCAUUCGACCUAUGGGAAGUUGUUAACUCAGAUGCUGAGCCAGCACCUCUUCGAGCUAAUCCAACAGUUGCUCAAAUAAGGCAACACACUGAUGAAAGGACAAAAAGGCACAAGGCCAUGUCAUGCAUACAGAAUUGUGUGACAGAUGUGAUCUUUAUGAGGAUCAUGGCCUGUGAGACACCAAAGGAGGCUUGGGACAAGCUGAAAGAAGAAUUUCAGGGGACUGAGAAAACAAGGCAACAACAGCUGCUCAAUUUGAGAAGAGAUUUCGAAAAUCUCAAAAUGAAAGAGGAAGAAACAGUUAAGCAGUACUCAGACCGGAUUAUGGCUGUUGUAAACAGCAUAAGGCUCCUAGGAGAGCAAUUCAGUGAAGCUAGAAUGGUUGAGAAAGUCAUGUCCACUCUACCAGAGAGGUAUGAAGCUAAAAUUUCAUCCCUCGAAGACUCAAGGGACUUGACAACUAUCUCCUUAACUGAGCUAAUCAAUGCCUUGUAUGCAUAAGAGCAAAGAAGAGCUAGCAGACAAGAGGAGCACCAGGAAGGGGCUUUUCAAGCCAAAGAAGCCUCGAGCAUCAAAACUCAUAAAGGCAAAAAGUUCUGGAAAAACAAGCCUAAGCCUGAUGCUGCUAGGAGCAGUGACCAACUCUGCAGACAUUGUAAAAGAGCUGGUCAUCCAGAAGAUAGAUGCUGGUUUAGACCAGAUGCAGUAUGCCAAAACUGCAAGAAAAAAGGCCAUGUUGAAAAAGUUUGCAAGAAUAGAAGCAAACCAAGACAGAAUCAAUUUCAGCAACAAAAGGUGGAAGCUCGAGUAGCUGAAGAAAGUAGUGAUCAAGAAGAACAUGUUUUUGCUGUGUCAUGUGCAGCAAAUCAGAAGAAGGGUUCAAAGGGCUGGCUUCUAGACAGUGGGUGCACAAACCACAUGUCACCAGAUGCAACUAUCUUCAAAACCCUGGACAGAACCUGCAAAACCAAAGUAAAAAUUGGAAAUGGUCAGUUAAUCAAUGCUGAAGGAAGAGGAGAUGUGCUGAUUCAUACUUCUACAGGUGGCAAAAUCAUUUCAAAUGUACUUUUGGUACCUGAAAUCGAUAGGAACCUUCUCAGUAUAACUCAACUACUUGAGAAAGGUUACUCAGUUGUUUUCAAGGAGAAAGAAUGUCAAAUUUUUGAUCCAAGUGGAUCAAAUCUUAUAACAGUCACCAUGACUGAUAAAUGUUUUGAAGUAGACUGGCCAAAUGACUCACAUUCAGCCUGCAUAGCCUCCACUAAUGACUCGAGACUCUGGCAUCAGAGGCUUGGACAUGCAAACUACAAAUCCAUAGCCCGCAUGGUCAAUGAAGGUCUGGCAGAAAAUUUCAUUGAUUCAGUGAAGAAUGAUGAGCUUUGUGAGAUAUGUCAGCAAGGAAAAUUGGCAAGAUUGCCAUUUCCAACAAGCACAACAUGGAGAGCAUCAGAGAAGCUCCAGCUUGUGCAUACAGAUGUGUGUGGACCAAUGAAGACUGAGUCUCUCAAAGGAAGCAGGUACUUUAUUUUAUUUAUUGAUGACUUAACAAGAUACUGCUGGAUUUAUUUUCUAAAACAGAAAUCAGAAGUACCAUCUAUGUUCCUGAAGUAUAAGGCUGCUGUUGAAACUGAGUCUGGUUGCAAACUUAGAGCAAUGAGGUCAGAUAAUGGAACUGAGUACACCUCAGCUCAGUUCCAAGUCUACUGUGAAGAAGCAGGUAUCAAACACCAGUUGACUAAUGUGUAUACACCCCAACAGAAUGGGGUCAGUGAAAGGAAAAACAGAAGCUUGAUGAACAUGGCAAGAUGUCUUCUGUUUGAGAAGAAUUUGCCCAAAAGUCUGUGGGCUGAAGCUGUUAACACAGCAGUUUAUCUCUAAAAUAGGCUCCCAACCAAGGCUCUGGCUGAGAAGACUCCAUUUGAAGCCUGGUUUGGGUUUAAGCCAUCACUGGCUCAUCUCAGAACCUUUGGUUGUCUGUGCUAUACUCAAGUUCCAGCUGAGAAGAGAAGCAAGCUAGACAAAAGAGCUCAAGCAGGGAUCCUGAUCGGCUACAGCUUGGUUAAGAAGGGCUACAGAAUUCUAGAACCUGCUACAAACAAGAUAUUGGUUAGCAGGGAUGUUGUUUUCAAUGAAAAAGGACACUGGAAUUGGGAGAAGGCUGAACCAGAGGCAGUGGCUGAAGAUCUGGCAGUGGACCAAGUUGAAAAUGGUGAAAACACACCUGAAAUGGAUGUAGAUGAUGUUCCAAUCAGAGGCACUCGAUCACUGGCUGAUGUUUAUGAAAGAGCACAAGUGGCUACUGUUGAACCAAAUUGCUUUGAAGAAGCAGAAAACCAGGAGGACUGGAAGCAAGCAAUGAUUGAAGAAAUCAGAAUGAUUGAAAAGAAUCAGACCUGGAGUCUGGUUGAUAAACCAACAAACAGGAAGAUUAUUGGUGUCAAAUGGGUUUAUCGAGUAAAGAACAAUGCUGAUGGUAGCCUAAACAAGUUAAAGGCUAGAUUGGUUGUGAAAGGCUUCAGUCAAAGGUAUGGAUCAGACUACCUGGAAACCUUUGCACCAGUGGCCAGGUUAGACACUAUUAGACUGCUAGUUGCCUUAGCAGCACAAAAACAGUGGCUGAUACACCAACUUGAUGUAAAAUCAGCAUUUCUGAAUGGAUUCCUUGAAGAGGAGAUUUAUGUGGAGCAACCUCAAGGUUUCAAGGUGUCUGGCAAAGAAGAUAUGGUGUACAAGCUCAACAAAGCCUUGUAUGGCUUGAAACAGGCUCCAAGGGCCUGGUAUAGCAGAAUAGAUGGCUAUCUGACCAGUCAAGGAUUUGAAAGAAGUCUUAGCGAGCCAACUCUGUAUGUUAAAUCAACUAGUGCUGAAACUCAGCUCAUUGUCUCAAUAUAUGUCGAUGACCUACUGGUGACAGGAGGAGAUCAUGAGAUGCUAAGCAGUUUUAAAGUCAAAAUGCAACAGCACUUUGAAAUGUCAGACUUGGGAUUGAUGUCUUACUUCUUAGGCAUGGAAGUAACUCAAGCUAAGAAUGGGAUUUGGCUAAGUCAAAAGACCUUUGCUAUGAAGGUUCUCAACAAAUUCUCAAUGGAGAAUUGCAAAGCAACCAGCACACCAGUUGCUGUUGGAGAAAAACUCUCGAGCCAAGACAAGCAUGAAAAGGUUUGUGAAACAACCUAUCGAAGUCUAGUUAGAUGUUUGUUGUAUUUGACUGCUACUAGACCUGACAUAAUGUAUGCUGUGAGUCUACUCUCGAGGUUUAUGCAUUCUUCAAAUGAAAGUCAUUUUAGAGCUGCAAAAAGGGUUCUAAGAUACAUCAAAGGAACUUUGUCCUAUGGAAUGCAGUUUACCAAGGCUGAGAACUUGAGGCUAGUUGGAUAUUGUGACAGUGAUUGGGCUGGUUCUUUGGAUGACAUGAAGAGCACUACAGGUUAUGCAUUCAACAUAGGCUCUGCUAUGAUAUGCUGGAGCUCAAAGAAGCAAGGAGUAGUGGCUCAGUCGACUGCAGAAGCAGAAUAUGUGGCUGCUGCUGCAGCAGUCAAUCAAGCCAUAUGGCUUAGAAAAAUUUUGAAAGAUAUCAAUCAUGAGCAAAAGGAAGCAACUGAGAUAAUGUCUGACAACCAAUCAGCAGUUGCUAUUGCAAAGAAUCCUGUUUUUCAUGGAAGGACCAAGCACUUCAACAUCAAACUUCAUGCAGUUCGGGAAAUGGAACAAGCUCAUGUUGUUAAGCUGAUACAUUGCAGUUCUGAAGAGCAAAUUACUGAUAUUUUAACAAAAGCACUAAGUGUUUCCAAGUUUCAACACCUGAGAGCUAAUAUGGGAGUUUGCAACAUGCUAACCAAGGAGGAGUGUUGAAGUAAUGGUCAGCAUGCAGCAACCAAGACUGUCAAAGGCACUACAUGCAGAAGCUGCUGGUUCACCUAGUCAGCAAGCUGUUUAUGUUUCAUUUUGUAAUUUUAAGUUAGAGUAAUGUAACUUAGUUGCUUUAUAACUAUGUUAGGUUUAUGUUUGAUGUAAUUUUGAUGUUGACUGAGCUGAUAAAUCAGCUUUGUUUGUUUAUUCAAGCUAAUUAGCACAAGUUACUAUGUGUAUUAGUGGUAGUAGGUGAAGUUUAGGUCAACCUACUGUUUUGUCAAGAUUGUAAACUUGUUUUAUGUAUUGGCUUUGUGCCAUAUUUAGUUUGAUGAAUGAAUUCAAGAAGUUAUCAUCCAUAUGCUCUCCAUUUUUAGUUUUGCUUAAAAAUCCAUUUGAGUUUUCUGCUUUGUUUCUCCUACAAGUCACGAGACUUGCCAUACAAGCAUUCUGCUGAAGCUUGCUGCUGCUGCCUCUUGCACCAACAAGAGGUCUAAGCUUUCCAAACUUUUAAGCCCUUUUAAAAAUUGGGGGAAUUCACUAAGAUUGCAAGAUGACAAAAAUAAGCUUGUAAGAUUAACAGUAGAAGUUGUAUUAGAUGUUAAGGAUAGGCUGUUAUAUGAAAGGUCAAGAUAUUCGAGAUUUGGAAGGUUUGAGAACAUGCGAAACUCUAUGACACCACUAAGAUAAUUUGAGGAUAAGCUAAGUUGGGUAAGAUUGAGAAGUUGGAAUAUUGAAGAUGGAAGAGGACCUUGGAGUUUAUUAUUCUCUAACCAUAUCCAUUCUAGUGAUUUGGAUUGGAAUUCUUUGAUAUGCCCACUGAAUUGAUUUUGAGAGAGAUAUAUUGUCUUUAAGGAGGGAGCAAUAUACAACCAUGACGGAAGUGUUCCAUUGAGUAAAUUGUCAGAUAAGUCUAAAUAUAUUAGAUUAUGAAAAGCGGUUACCUCAUCUGGAAUGGAACCUUCUAAAGAAUUGUUAGAUAUUGUCAAGUAUUCCAGCUGCGUUAGGUUUAGAAUUGACAAUGGAAUUUGUCCACUCAAUUUGUUCCAUCCCAAGUCUAAAACAGUGAGUUGCAAGAGGUUCCCCAAUGAUCUUGGAAUCUGUCCACUCAAUUGGUUCAGCCACAAGUCUAAAUGAGUGAGUUGCAAGAGGUUCCCUAAUGAUCUUGGAAUUUGUCCACUCAAUUGGUUCUUCGACAAGUCUAAAUGAGUGAGUUGCAAGAGGUUCCCCAAUUUUCUUGGAAUUUGUCCACUCAAUUGGUUCUCCGACAAGUCUAAAUGAGUGAGUUUCAAGAGAUUCCCCAGUGAUCUUGGAACCAGUCCUGAUAAGUUGGAAUGGGAGAGAACUAAAAACUUCAAGGACACAAGAUUCCCCAUCGAGUCAGGCAAUCCUCCACAAAUAUUUGCGUCUGAAAUUAUCAAUUGUUCAAGAUUGCUGCUCCGAUUGAACUUCAAAGGAUCAAGAUUGAGGUUUUGGUUGCCUCCCAAGUUGAGGAGAUUGAGGUUUGGCAAAUCAAAAAUGUUUUUUGGGAAUUUUCCUUGCAAAUCACAACCAACAAGACUGAGAGACCUUAGAGAAGAGGAUAGAUUCAUGAAGACAUGAGCAUUAACUGAAGACAUGUCCAUUUCAUCCAAAAACAGACGUCUGACCUCGGUUAGGUUGUGAACAAGACCCUCCAGAGCAUAUUUGUCAAUUGUUAAUAGUUCAUCAAACCCAGAAAGAUCAAGUGAAACCAAUUUUGACAGGUGGGAGACUUGGGAUGGGACUUCUGAAAACCAUGUAUUGGAAAGGUUGAGGUAGAAUAGGCUUGUAAACCGACCGAACUCGGAUGGAAUUUUGGAAGAAUUAAAAUCAUUGUAGGCAAGGUUGAGUUUUUGAAGGUGAGGAAGAAGGAAGAGAGUGGUAUUGGAAGGGAAGGUGCCAUAUAGCCAACUGCAGCUCAAGUCAAGGGCAAUAACAUGAGCAUUUAGGUGGUCACAAGUGACCCCAUCCCAUGAGCAGCAAUCUGUACCCUCCUUCCAUGAAUUUGUCUUGGGAUAAGAUUUAAGGCCAGCAAAAUAAUCGCAAUGAUCAAAAGAAGCAUCCUCUCUUAUGGAAAAGGAGUCCUUAAACUGGAUUAGUGAAGAGCAGGAGUGAGAUCCUGAAGAAGAAAAAGAAGCAUAAAGAUGGAGAAAGAAGAGGAAUAGGGAGAGAAAGAGAUAGGAGGCCAUGUUAUGUUGGUAGAGGAAGAUGAAGGAUAGGAAUGGUAUUUAUAGGCAACAAAUAAUACCACAACAUUGGUGUUACAGUCUUUUUUCUUUUACAUUGAAAAGCUAUGGAUAUUAGAUUUUCAAAAUUUUUGUAUUUUUCACAAUCAUCAACAACCACUUUGUCUUCAUUUUACCAUAUAUUUUUCAUUCUUAAAAUUGGAUUAUUUUCUUUUAGCAAAAUCUUGUAUUUCAUUUGAACUCCCUAAACAACUAAAAAAUUAAGAUUGAUAAAAUUACAAAGUAGAUUGACUUAGUCUUCUUCCUUGUAACACGUAAAGAAUUUCCACGCAAAAGAACAAAAUUGUGCUCUAUUCUUUACGUUUGAGGAAGAAGACUGCUGGAAUUUUAAUCCACUGAUUCCAUAAAAACGUGUAUACUUAUAUAUAUAUAUAUUUAUAACCUCAUAAUUUAAAUCUAAAAUCUCAUUUGUUAUAAAUUCUGAUAAAUUUAUUUGGGAAUUGCUAUUUUUCAUUCGUUAAUUAUUUCUCUUUUAAUCGAGUAAAAAAUUAAAACUAAAGACAUAAUGAUUUAUUUGGUAUUUUUUAACUUCGCAAACGAAAAAUUAUUUUAGCUUUCUAUUUUUUUUUAUCUCUUUUAGUCUUGAAAUUUAUAUGGUUCAUUAAAUCACCCAAAAAAAUGAUGAAAAAAAUAACAAAACUAGCACCUACGUGGCUGAUGUUGACCCUUAAUAGUUAAUGGCAACACCUAUGUAGUUGUUAACAGAUACCACACCAACACUGUUUGUUGACGUGACAAUGCCACAUGAUCAAUAAUCGCAGACAUGGUAGCGCCACGCCAUCGCCCAUUGAUGACAUAUUAACCUUUGAGUUAAACUCAAAUAAUUUGGUCCCAAAUAGUUUUCAACACAAAAGAAUAGAGGAAGAAGACUGCUACAGGUUUAACUAUCAAUUGUCUAUUGACUAUACUUUUAACUCCACUAAAAAAGACCAAGACUAAGACUAUCAAUUGUCUAUUGACUACACUUUAACUCGACAAAAAAAGACCAAGACUAAGACUAUCAAUUGUCUAUUGGCUUCACACUUGCUGUUGCUUCCUCCUAUUUCUCUCACCCAAACUUAAUUUACAAGCAAUGUGGAAAUUUUGGACAUUUGCCCACAACGUACAAUACUUCCACACCAUUUGCAGUAUUGACUACGUUUACUUGAGGGAAAACAAAGACAUGAACGCUGGAAAUUUUAACUAGUUUGUACCGUCAAUGAAGCUACGUACCUAAAAGCCAUUUAGGAUAUCAAUUCCUGUAAUUGGAGUAAUCUCAUCGUUGCUGCAAUCUUUUGACAGUUUAAUCGAAUCUUAAAUAUGUUACUCUGCAAUGCUAUUGUAAAUAUUUUUCUUAAAUUUGUCGAUAGAUUUAUAGGUUUGGCACAAAAUUAAGAAUACACAAAGGCAGGUUGAAUUAUUCCAUGUUUGAACAUCUGCAACAUAAAUGCAUAUGGCAAAAGGGCUCAAACCAUACCUUAUGUUCAUGAAUUCUCAUCAUCACGUGUUUAUAAAUGCAACUCAAACUUCAAUAAUUGAAUCUUUUGUAAUUCUACAUGUAUUUUUUUAUUAUGGCGAGCAGUAUAAUGUUUACUAAAAAUUGAAAUUCAAGAAAGAAGACAUAUAUAGUUGCACCAUACAAGAUGUUACACUCGAACUAAACGCUUACAAAUAGUACGAAAUGCAAUUGAAUACAGAGGAAUUGGUACAAUCAUAAAAACAGACACAUACCAAUGCAACUUUUCACCAUAGGAAAAACUUUCUGACAGACUACUAAACAAGAAAUUAUGAAGACACAGUAGAAAUGCUUUAACUUCAUUUGCACCAACUAGAUCAUUCUUCAUCCACUCAUGCGAUUGCUAUAUUUUGGCUUUCUUCUUCGCCUCUUCUCAUGUUGGUCUUCAACCAAAUUCACGAACCUUUUCACCUUAUCGGUUUGGAAAACAACACAUCCCAUGGCCAUUCCAAACACUACCCCGGAUCCAUAACCUAUCAACACCACUUUCCAACCAAAAGCAAUGUUUGCUUUUGAGCCAUCCUUUUCCAGCACAUUUGGAGGUGGUGUCUCAUUGAUGCUGCAACCUUUGGAGACUGGAAAUCCACAUAGUCUCUGUUUCCUUCGUAUGAAUUGUUUCCAAAUGUAUUGAACUGUUUGCCUUGAGGAAUCUGACCAUGGAGUUGAUUUUCGGAAACGUUUAAUAAGGAAAGAAAUGCCGGAUCUGCCAAUAUCUCUGGAAUUAACUCAGUUCAAAAGACUAUAUAACUCGUAAAGUUUGGUCGAAGACUAGCAGGGGUCAAGAAAAAUAAUUACUUGAAUUGUCAAAAUUUUGGAUUUUAGAGAAACAAGCACUAGACUUGGAGCUAUGGUCAUGCAAGGAACCAUGCAUUUCAUUUGACUUUAGUACAAGAACUUGUAGCCGUGGAAGACUUCCCUACCAAUGAGGAAAUGUAUCAUUGAUCUUGUUGUUCCUAAGAUCUAGCACUUCCAAAGACCUAAAAUUGAGGAUGGAUGGUGACAAAUGCCAUUCAAAUUGAUUUCCAUUUAAGUUGAGAUUACUCAAUUGGCAUCCCUUUGCAAAUGUUGGAGGAAUCAAUCCAUAAAACUUGUUCUUCUUUAGAUUCAAAAAUUCCAGGUUGUUGCUCAAAUUUCCAAAACAUUGUAGAAUAGUUCCACUCAAUUUAUUGUGGGACAAGUCAAGAAUUUGGAGAGCACUCACAUUGCCUAUCAAAGAAGAGACCUCUCCACUUAAACUAUUGUUUGAAGUAAAAAACACGUUGAUUGUCGAAGAUGGGAUUGGAAGAUUUCCAUGGAUCAAAUUGGAGCUUAAGUCAAGAAUAUUAAUAUUCUUCCAUGGAAGUUGCUCAACUUCUGUCAAUGAAUUGUGAGAUAAAUUUAAGUAACUCAAAGAGUCACACGUCACUUCUUGCAGCCAUUGUGGAAUCUUCCCUUCAAUUCUAUUGUUAGAAAGCUCCAAAGUUUUCAACUUUUUUAACCCUUUCAAAAAUCGGGGGAAUUGGCUGACAUUAUUUGAGCUUAAGGAUAGGCUGUUUAGUGAAAGGUCAAGAUAUUCGAGAUUUGGGAGAUUUGAGAACAUGCCAAACUCUAUGACACCACUGAAAUUAUUUGAGUAUAAAAGGAGCCAGGUAAGGUUGAGAAAUUGGAAUAUUGAAGAUGGAAGAGGACCUUGGAGAUUAUUAUUCCCUAACACUAUCAUUCUAGUGAUUUGGAUUGGAAUUCUUUGAUGUGUCCACUGAAUUGAUUCUGAGAGAGAGAUAUUUCCAUUAAGGAGAAAGCAUUAUACAACCAUGACAGAAGUUUUCCAUUGGGUAAAUUGUUAGAUAAGUCUAAAGAUAUUAGAUUAGGGAAAGCAGCUACCUCAUCUGGAAUGGGACCUUCUAAAGAAUUUUCAGCUAUUCUCAAGUGUUCAAGCUGUGUUAGGUUUACAAUUGACAAUGGAACUUGUUCACUCAAUUGGUUCCAUGACAAGUCUAAAUAUAUGAGCCACAAGAGGUUCCCCAGAGAUCUCGAAAUUGAUCCCUGUAAAUUGGAAUUAGAGAGAGACAAAUAUUUCAAGACGUGCAGGUUGUCAAUCAAAUCAAUCAAUUUUGAAAAGGAGGACAUCCAUGACAGAUCCAAAUGUUCAAGAUUACUGCUCUGAUUGAACUUCAGAAGAUCAAGAAUCAGGUUUCGGUUGUAUCCUAAGUUGAGCAAAUUGAGGUUUGGCGAAUGAAGAACGUUUCUUGAGAAUUUUCCUUGCAAAUCACAACCACCAAGACUGAGAGACUUUAUAGAAGAGGAUAGAUUGAUGAAAACAUUAGGAUUAAUAGAAGGCAUGAUAAUUCUAUCAAGAAAAAGAUGUCUCACCUCAGUUAGGUUGUGAACAAGUCCCUUCAAAGAAUUUUAUCAAGUGUUAAUUGGUCAGAAAAAACAUUAUGAGAGAGAUCAAGUGAAACCAAUUUUGACGAGUGGGAGAUUUGGGAUGGGACUUUUCCUGCAAAUAACGUUUCUGAGAUGUUAAGAUACACCAGGCUUGUAAACCGGCCGAACUCGGAUGGAAUUUUGGAAAGAUUAAAAUCAUUGUAGGCAAGGUUGAAUUUUUGAAGGUGAGGAAGAAGGAAGAGAGUGGUAUUGGAAGGGAAGUUGCCAUAUAGACAACUGCAGCUCAAGUCAAGGGCAAUAUAUAACUUGAGCAUUUAGGUGGUCACAAGUGACCCCAUCCCAUGAGCAGCAAUCUGUACCCUCAUUCCAUGAAUUUGUCCUGGGAUAAGAUUUAUGGCCAUCAAUCUCAUUGCUAUAAGAAGAAGCAUACUCUGUUAUGGAAAAAGAGUCCUUAAACUGGAUUAGUGAAGAGCAGGAGUGAGAUCCUGAAGAAGAAAAAGAAGCAUAAAGAUGGGGAAAGGUUAAGGUAGAAUAGGCUUGUAAACCGACCGAACUCGGAUGAAAUUUUGGAAAGAUUAAAAUCAUUGAAGGCAAGGUUGAGUUUUUGAAGGUGAGGAAGAAGGAAGAGAGUGGUAUUGGAAGGGAAGUUGCCAUAUAGCCAACUGCAGCUCAAGUCAAGGGCAAUAACUUGAGCAUUAAGGUGAUGACAAGUGACCCCACACCAUGAGCAGCAAUCUGUACCCUCCUUCCAUGAAUUUGUCUUGGGAUAAGAUUUAAGGCCGGCAAAAUCAUCGCAACACAAAGCAGCAUGGCCUGUCUGAGUGAUCGAAAAUGAAUUCUUGAACUGGAUUAGAGAAGCAGCUUCGUGGUGAGAGCAGGAGUGAGAUCCUGAAGAAGAAGAAGCAUAAAGAUGGGGAAAGAAGAGGAAUAGGCAGAGAGAGAGAUAGGGGCCAUGUUAUGUUUGUAGAGGAAGAUGAAGGAUAGGAAUGGUAUUUAUAGGCAACAAAUAGAAUCCAAUAUUAAACAAAAGAUUUGAUGAUUAAUACCACAACACCACUGUUACAGUGUUGUUUCUUUUAUGGUAUAAAGAUUGUUAUUGGAAGAGUUUGAAAUGCUGACAUUGAAAACCUAUAUUUUUCAAUACUCAUCAACAACCACUUCCUUUUUACCAUAUCUUUUUCAUUCCCAAAAUUGGAUACAUUGUUUUACCAAAAUUUUGUAUUUCAUUUGAACUCCCUAAACAACUGAGAAAAUUAACAUUGAUGAGAUUACAAAGUAGAUUGACUUAGUCUUCUUCCUUAUAAUAGGUAAAAAAAAAAUGUGAGUGUCUAUUCACUUAUAAUAUUUCCAUGCUAGAGGUAGUUUUUGGAAAAUCUUUAAUUAAAUCUUAAUUUCAUUUUGUUAAAAUUUUAAACUGGGUUAUCGAAUUGGCUUCUGAUUGUAGGUUGAUCAAUGAUGGGCCGAUUUCUUCUUCUUCUUUUUUAAUUUUUUUAGGGUUAAUUUAUAAUAUACUGCUUAAUGUUGUUGAUUUAUUUUUCUGGUCAUCGUUUCAUCCGUUUGUUGAAGAUAACUGAAUUUUUAUUGGUUGUAAUUGGACUUGGGUUUUAGCCAAUGACUAUAAUCAAAGGGUUAAUUUAAGGUUCCAAUGAAUUGUUUGAAAAUUUUAUUAUUUUUCUUUUCAAUUAGUUGUUUUACAAGGAUUUAACUUAUAUUAGUCAAAUGAACUGGCUUUAAAAAAUGAACAAGAACGAAGAAAUUGGAUGGUUAACUGGACACUGGAAAGGGGGAAUGCUAAAAGUUGUAAAUGUUUUGAAUAUAGAGUUGUAUUCUUUUCAUGGCUUCAGAAAAAUGUAUGCAAUGUUUGGCCAGCGAUAAUGGACAAGUUUUUUUAAACCUCCAUGCCUUAGUCAUGCUUUCAUAAACAUGGGCAGCUAACACCGAGAAGUCUCAUUGAAUGUAGUAAGCGAUUUAAAAGUGAAGCUCAUAUGCGACCGGGGAUGGUUGAUUUGAGGUUUAAUUCUAGCUAGUAGAUUCUGUUGUUUGUUAAGCGUCUUUUUGGAGACAAAUGUCUGAGAUUGCUGGAAAAUGCUUCUUACCAUCAUAUUAAUGUGUAUUUGGGUUGCGUUUUCUUAGAGUUUUGGAUUCUUUGCAUCAUAUCAUAAAAUUGAGUUAGAUAUAACAUCUCAUUGUUAUCUGUUAAUUGUUUCACUUGGGACCAGGAGCAUGCUGGCAACUCAAUACAGCUGUAAAUGCAUAUUUCAGUGAGGGUGAUAGGUAUAUAUUUAUGAAUUAUCCUAAUAUUUUUUAUGAUAAGUAAUUCUAGGUUUAUAGCUUUAUUUGUUUGUUUGUUUUCUCGUGUUUCCUACAAAAAAAGGCCAACAUCAACCAUAGUUCCUGUAGAUGAUGCCAUGGAUAUAGAUGAUCCAAAUGAAGUAGUACCAAAUGGGCCAGUCCUUCCAUUUCUACCAUCAUCUAGAACAAACGAACAAUCGUCUCUUUUUCUGAAAUUUCCGGCGCGACGCCUGUGCGGGGGGCCUUGGCCGGAAUCUGGACUUAGUCCAGAGAGUUUUUUUUUCUUUCUUCUGUUUUUUUUUUUCAAUGUUCAAAUGAUUUUUUUUCUCAAAACACUAAUUUUUAUGCCCAGUGAAACGGCGCCGUUUUGGCUAAGCUCCAAAACACCCAAAACGACGUCGUUUCACUCGCCACCAACUUGAAUUUUAUAACUACUCCUAUGCCAACCAGCAAACCAUAACAGCGUACAUAAAAAAGAGGAUGCUGACUUACAAUUCCUUUCAUUUCACCAUAACCAAUCAAAUCCCUUGCAAUGCUGUUUGGAUCACAGCAGCUCAUCUUUCAAUCCUAGAUGGCUCCGCUAAUUUUUUGAAAGCAUACAUAAACUGUUAAAGAAAUAAAUGGAUAAAACAACUACAGGAUAGAAGGCUGAAAAAUUACAAAGUGCAAUGACCUUAUUGUUAAAAUUUCAACGCCCAUUCCUUGGAAAGAUAUCUUCACCAUUGCCCACUCAAGAGAACUCAAAUAGCAGCAAGAUCUAGUAUAAAAUGUAACUCUCAACAACACACACAAAUGUUUGUUCUAUCAAGGAGCAAUACACAGACAUAUUCACCUACCCUUGGUUCUAGCUUUGCAUAUUACAUAACACUCUUCAAAUGUCUUAUUAAAUUCUCACUUUUACGAGUGCUAUGAUAAUCAAAUAAAAUUCAAUUCAAUUUUAAGUUCCAUAUAACACUUACAUGGCUACAAAAUGUGUGUGUGUUUAAGUGUCGACAACCACAAACAAUCCAAAUUUGCAGAGAAACCACCCAUUAUAUAUAGGUUUGCCAAUGAGAUGGCAAGCAGAUUGCUAGCUAGAAAUUCAUGCAUCUUUGAAUCACCAGUUCAAUUAAUAAGCUUAAGUAGAGGAAAUAGGGACUUUACAUCCACCAAUUAAAGCAACCUAUAUGUACCCUUUUACAGUCUGCAUUGUUCCAUGUUUCAAUUCAUUACAUCAUUCCUUCAACUCUGCUAUAUAUUAUUACCGUCUCCAGAUAACCAAACCUUUUACUGCUAACUUGUAAAAAAAUUAUGAAAAUACAACAGAGAUCAUUGAGACAUUGUUGAAGUUGGCUUGCAUGCAGAGCAAGAAGCAGACCAAGCUGUCCGAGCCAUGCAAGUUGCAGCUGAAGCUUAUGCUGCUGUUUUGUUACUUUCAAAUAGAUAUUUUAUUACUUAGUUAGAUAUGAACUAAGUUGUUGAUAUGCUUGAUGUGAUUAGGUGCUGAUAGAUUGAUAAAUCAGCUUUACCAAGUGUACAAGCAAUGUUUAUCAAGUUACUAAGCCACUUAGUGGAGUUAGGCACGUGUUUAGGUAACAUUUUCUUAUUUUUGACCAGCUGAUUGCUCGGUAUAUGUAAUGGAAUUGUGCCUUCAUUUGGUCUUUACUUAAGCAUUUUUAUUCAAAAAGCUCUUGCUGUUUUUGUUUUGUUUGUUGUGCAAGAUAUCAAUGCUUUAUGCUUAAGUUUCUGUCAAAAUUUCUCAUUCUGUUUUCUUAGUUCCUACAGACAUUUUGUUCUCCUUUCUCCUUUACUGAGCAGUAGCAAAGAUUAUUGAGACUAAAUUGAAAUCCAUGAAAGAAGACAUAAACAACACCACCAUACAAAAUGUCACACUCAAACAAACCAUUACAGAUAGUACGAAAUGCAAUGAAAGACAGAGGAAUUGGUACAAUAAUAAAGACAGCCAGAUACCAAUGCAACCCUUCACCAUAGGCACAACGGUCUACAAACAAGAAAUUAUGAAAAAUACAACACUAAUUCUUGAACAUCAUUUGCAGUAAUUAGAUCCUUCUUCGUCUACUGCUGCGAUUGCCUUUCUUUGACUUUCUUCUUCGCCUCUUCUCAUGUUGGUUUUCAACCAAAUUCACCAACCAUUUUGGCUUUCCAGUUUGGAAAACAACAUAUCCCACGGACAUUCCGAACACUACUCCGCAUCCACAACCUAUCAUCACCACUUUCCAACCAAAAGCAAUGUUUGAUUUUGAGCCAUCUUUUUCAAGCACAUUUGGAGGUGGUGGGUCAAUGAUGUUGCAACCUUUCGAGACCGGAAACCCACACAGUCCCUUAUUUCCUUCAUAUGAAUCAUUUCCAAAUGUGUUGAAUUGUUUGCCUUGGGGAAUCUUACCAUGGAGUUGAUUUUCAGAAACAUUUAAGGACGAAAGAAACGGCAGAUCUGCCAAUCUAUUUGGAAUCGCCCCAGACAACCUGUUUGAAGAUAGGUCCAACCAUUCAAGACUUGUCAAAUUCCCUAUUGAUGUGGGGAUACCACCAUUAAGGUUAUUAUGAGAAAGGUUGAGCCCUUUCAGUAAGUUAAGCUUCCCAAUAACCUUUGGAAUACCCCCUUCAAACUGAUUGUUUGAUAGAUCAAUGAUCAUCCACAUGGUGAAAAUUUUCACCAAUUCCCUAUCUUGUCCUUUCAUAACAAUUCCAAUGGAAUAGGUAUAGAAGUCACCUCCAUCAUCAUUCACCCCCAUGUACGACACUGUACUACCAAUCUUCUCUAGAUUUAUGAUAGCCUUGAAGCUGUUGAUGUAUCUCACUGGUAGGGGUCCAGAAAAAUAAUUACUUGAGAGAUCAAAAAUUUGGAUUUUAGAGAAAAAAGGGAUAGACUUGGAGCUAUUGACACAUAAGGAACCAUGCAAUUGAUUUGACUUCAAUACAAGAACUUGUAGCCGUGGAAGACUUCCCAACCAAUGAGGAAAUGUAUCAUUGAUCUUGUUGUUACCAAGAUCUAGCACUUCCAGACCAUUACAAUUAAGGAUGGAUGGUGUCAAAGGCCCUUCUAACAGAUUUCCAUUUAAGUUGAAAUUACUCAAUUGGCAUCCCAUUGCAAAUGUUGGAGGAAUCGUCCCAUAGAACUUGUUCUUCUUCAGAUUCAAGAAUAGAAGGCUGUUGCUCAAAUUUCCAAAACAUUGUGGAAUUGUUCCACUCAAGUUAUUGUGGGACAAAUCAAGAAUUUCAAGAAAAGCGGCAUUGCAUAUUAAAGAAGAGACCUCUCCAUUGAAACUAUUAUUAGAGAUCAAAAAGACAUUGAUGGUCGAAGCUGGAAUCGGAAGAUUUCCACUGAUCAAAUUGGAGCUUAAGUCAAGAACGUCAAUAUUCUUCCAUGGAAAGUGCUCAACUUCUGUCAAAGAGUUGUGAGAUACGUUUAAGUAAGUCAAAGAGUCAUUCCCCACCUCUUGCAUCCACUGUGGAAUCUUGCCUUCAAUUUUGUUGUAAGAGAGGUCUAAGCUUUCCAAACUUUUAAGCCCUUUUAAAAAUUGGGGGAAUUCACUAAGAUUGCAAGAUGACAAAAACAACCUUGUAAGAUUAACAGUAGAAGUAGUAUUAGAUGUUAAGGAUAGGCUGUUAUAUGAAAGGUCAAGAGAUUCGAGAUUUGGAAGGUUUGAGAACAUGCGAAACUCUAUGACACCACUAAGAUAAUUUGAGGAUAAGCUAAGUUGGGUAAGAUUGAGAAGUUGGAAUAUUGAAGAUGGAAGAGGACCUUGGAGUUUAUUAUUCUCUAACGCUAUCCAUUCUAGUGAUUUGGAUUGGAAUUCUUUGAUAUGCCCACUGAAUUGAUUUUGAGAGAGUUUUAUAUCCUUUAAGGAGGGAGCAGUAUACAACCAUGAUGGAAGUUGUCCACUGAGUAAAUUGUUAGUUAAGUCUAAAGAUAUUAGAUUAGGAAAAGCGGUUACCUCAUCUGGAAUAGAACCUUUUAAUGUAUUUCCAGCUAUUCUCAAGUAUUCCAGCUGCGUUAGGUUUAGAAUUGACAAUGGAAUUUGUCCAUUCAAUUGGUUCUGCCACAAGCCUAAAUAAGUGAGUUGCAAGAGGUUCCCCAAUGAUCUUGGAAUUUGUCCACUCAAUUGGUUUUGCCACAAGCCUAAAUAAGUGAGUUGCAAGAGGUUCCCCAAUGAUCUUGGAAUUUGUCCACUCAACUGGUUCCCCGAUAAGUCUAAAUGAGUGAGUUGCAAGAGAUUCCCCAGUGAUUUUGGAACCGGUCCUGAUAAGUUGGAAUAGGAGAGAUCUAAAAACUUCAAGGACACAAGAUUACCCACCGAGUCUGGCAAUCCUCCAAAAAAAUUUGCGCCUGAAAUUAUCAAUUGCUCCAAAGAUGAUAAAUUUGUGAUUGAGACAGACAAUCCUUGAAAGAAAAAAUUUCCUGAUAGACCUAAGGACUUUAAGGCCUGUAGAUUAUCAACUGAAUCAAUGAAUUCUGUAGAGAAGGACGUCCAUGACAGAUCCAAAUGUUCAAGAUUGCUGCUCCGAUUCAACUUCAAAGGAUCAAGAUUGAGGUUUUGGUUGUUUCCCAAGUUGAGGAGAUUGAGGUUUGGCAAAUCAAAAAUGUUGUUUGGGAAUUUUCCUUGCAAAUCACAACCAGCAAGACUGAGAGACCUUAGAGAAGAGGAUAGAUUCAUGAAGACAUGAGCAUUAACAGAAGCCAUCUCCAUUCCAUCCAAAAACAGAUGUCUGACCUCGGUUAGGUUUUGAACAAGUCCCUCCAGAGCAUGUUUGUCUCCUACAAACCCUGUACUGGAAAGGUCGAGGUAGAGUAGGCUUGUAAACCGACCUAACUCGGAUGGAAUUUCGGAAAGAUUAAACUCAUUGUAGGCAAGGUUGAGUUUUUGAAGGUGAGGAAGAAGGAAGAGAGUGGAAUUGGAAGGGAAGUUGCCAUAUAGCCAACUGCAGCUCAAGUCAAGGGCAAUAACAUGAGCAUUUAGGUGGUCACAAGUGACCCCAUCCCAUGAGCAGCAAUCUGUACCCUCCUUCCAUGAAUUUGUCUUGGGAUAAGAUUUAUGGCCAGCAAUCUCAUUGCAAUAAGAAGAAGCGUCCUCUGUUAUGGAAAAAGAGUCCUUAAACUGGAUUAGUGAAGAGCAGGAGUGAGAUCCAGAAGAAGAAAAAGAAGCAUAAAGAUGGGGAAAGAAGAGGAAUAGGCAGAGGAAGAGAUAGGGGGCCAUGUUAUGUCUGUAGAGGAAGAUGAAGGAUAGGAAUGGUAUUUAUAGGCAACAAAUAAUACCGCAGUGUUACAGUCUUUUUUUCUUUUACAUUGAGAAGCUAUGGAGAUUAGAUUUUCAAAAUUUUUGUAUUUUUAACAAUCAUCAACAGUCACUUAGUCUUCUUUUUACCAUAUAUUUUUCAUUCUUAAAAUUGGAUGCUAUCUUUUCGCAAAAUCUUGUGGAAAUUCUUUAGCCUUCUUCUCUAUAACACUUAAAGAAUGUGUGUAUGUAUUCAUUUGCCUGUCAACUAAAGCUAAUUAAUGUGGAAAUUCUUUUCCACCCAAAAGAACAAAAUUGUGCUCUAUUCAUUAAGUUUGAGGAAGAAGAUUGCUGGAAAUUUAAUCUACCGAUUCCAUAAAAAACGUGUAUACUUAUAUAACCUCAUAAUUCAAAUCUAAAAUCUCAUUUGUUAUAAAUUCUGAUAAAUUUCUUUGGAAUUGCUAUUUUUCAUUUGUUAAUUAUUUCUCUUUUAAUCGAGUAAAAAAUUAAAACUAAAAAGACAUAAUGAUUUAUUUGGCAUUUUUAAACUUUACAAAUAAAAAAUCAUUUUAGCUUUUCAUUUUUUUAUCUCUAUUAAAUCACCCAAAAAAAAUAAUGAAAAAGACUAACAAAACUAGCACCUACGUGGCUGAUGUUGACCCUUAGUAGUUAAUGACAACAUCUACGUAGUUGUUAACAGAUACCACACUAACACUGUUUGUUGACGUGACAAUGCCACAUGAUCAAUAAUCACCGACAUGGUAGCGCCACGCUAUCGCCCAUUGGUGACAUAUUGAUGUUUGAGUUAAACUCAAAUUACUAUUUCCUUUGUUAUAAAUUAAGAGUAUAACUAAUUUUGAUAAGAAUGAUUACUUUUCAUUAACUCAGUCUAAAGGACUAUAACACGUAAAGUUUGGCCUAUUGCAGAAUUCACAUGCAAUGCGGGGCAUUUACAUUAUGCAGAAUUCGGCACAUAUAUGGGAAUUUUUGUAUUUCCACAAUCAUCAUGUUGUUCGUGAUCAACAACUACUUCCUUUUUACCAUAUAUUUUUCAUUCAUAAAAUUGAUUACUUUUUUUUUUACGAAAGAAGUAAAAUUAUUAACAUUCAUGAUAUUACAAAGCCUUCUUCCUUAUAACACGUCAAGUUUGGCCCCAAAUAAUUUUCCAGACAAAAGAAUUAAGAGGAAGGAGACUGCUACAGAUUGACUAUACUUUUAACUCCACAAACAAAGACUAAGACUAUCAAUUGUCUAUUGACUACACUUUAACUCGACAAAAACAGAUUGACUAUACUUUUAACUCCACAAACAAAGACUAAGACUAUCAAUUGUCUAUUGACUUCACUUUAACUCGACAAAAACAGACUAAUAAGACUUUGGUUGGCUGUAAUGGGCUAUUGACUAUACUUUAACUCCGCAAAAAAAGACUAAGGCUAUCAAUUGUCUAUUGACUUCACACUUGCUGUUGCUUCCUCCUAUCUCUAUCACUUGCUUCCUCCUAUCUCUAUCACCCAAACUUAAUUUACAAGCAAUGUGGAAAUUUUGGACAUUUGGGCCACAAUGUACAAUACUUCCACACCAUUUGCAGUAUUGACUACGUUUACUUGAGGGCAAACAAAGACAUGAAUGCUGGAAAUUUUAACUAGUUUGUACCGUCAAUGAAGCUACGUACCUAAAAGCAAUGUAUUAUCACCGUCUCCAGAAAUUUUGCUAAUUCAAUUUCCCAAGAAAUAUGAUUAAUUUUGGUUAAAUUGGAGUGAACAUUACUAUUUCUGUUUUAGCAAUUAAAGCAACCUAUAUGUACCCUUUUACAGUCUGCAUUGUUCCAUGUUUCCAUUCAUUACAUCAUUCCUUCAACUCUGCUAUAUAUUAUCACCGUCUCCAGAGAACCAAACCUUUUACUGCUAACUUGUAAAAAAAUUAUGAAAAUACAACAGAGAUUAUUGAGACAUUGUUGAAGUUGGCUUGCAUGCAGUAGACAUUGUUAAUCUUAUUAUUAUUAUUAUUAUUAUUAACUCAUGAACCCAUGGUUACACUUCCAACAGAGGUGAGAGAGGUUAAGAGUAGCCAUGAGCCAUCUAGUCAUGCUCCUGUUGUUGAGGAUGCCUCUGAAACUGCACAAGCUCUCAGCCCGAAUUCAAAUCUAAAAUCUCAUUUGUUAUAAAUUCUGAUAAAUUUAUUUGGGAAUUGCUAUUUUUCAUUCGUUAAUUAUUUCUCUUUUAAUCGAGUAAAAAAUUAAAACUAAAAAGACAUGAUAAUUUACUUGGCAUUUUUUAACUUUACAAACAAAUAGUCAUUUUAGCUUUCCAUUUUUUUUUUCUCUUUUAGCCUUGAAACUUAUAUGGUUCCUUAAAUCACUCCAAAAAAAAUGAUGAAAAAGACUAACAAAUUCUAGCACCUACGUGGCUGAUGUUGACCCUAGUAGUUAAUGGCAACACCUACGUAGUGGUUAACAGAUACCACACCAACACUGUUUGUUGACGUGACAAUGCCAAAUGGUCAAUAAUCGCUGACAUGGUAGCGCCACGCCAUCGCCCAUUGAUGACAUGUUAACCUUUGAGUUAAACUCAAAUUACUCUUUCCUUUGUUAUAAAUUAAGAGUAUAAAUAAUUCUGAUAAGAAUAGUUACUUUUCAUUAACUCAGUUUAAAGGACUAUAACACGUAAAGUUUGGUCUAUUGCAGAAUUCACAUGCCAUGCGGGACGUUUACAUUAUGCAGAAUUCAACACAUAUAUGGGAAUUUUUGUAUUUCCACAAUCAUCAAAUAAUUUUCAUAAAUUGAUUACUUUCUUUUUACCAUAUAAUUUUCAUUCAUAAAUUGAUUACUUUUUUUUUACAAAAGAAGUAAAAUAAUUAAUAUUCGUGAGAUUACAAAGUCUUCUUCCUUAUACACGUCAAGUUUGGUCUCAAAUAAUUUUCCACACAAAAGAAUACUUUUAACAAUCAAUUGUCUAUUGACUAUACUUUGAACUCCACAAAAAAGACUAAGACCUUCAAUUGUCUAUUGACUACACUUUAACUCGACAAAAAAAGACUAAGACUAUCAAUUGUCUAUUGACUAUCAAUUGGUUCCAUGACAAGUCUAAAUAUAUGAGCCACAAGAGGUUCCCCAAUGAUCUCGAAAUUGAUCCCCGUAAAUUGGAAUUAGAGAGAGACAAAUAUUUCAAGACAUGCAGGUUGUCAAUCAAAUCAAUCAAUUUCGUAAAGGAGGACAUCCAUGACAGAUCCAAAUGUUCAAAAUUACUGCUCUGAUUGAACUUCAGAAGAUCAAGACUAAGGAUUCGGUUGUAUCCUAAGUUGAGCAAAUUGAGGUUUGGCGAAUGAAGAAUGUUUCUUGAGAACUUUCCUUGCAAAUCACAACCACCAAGACUGAGAGACUUUAUAGAAGAGGAUAGAUUCAUGAAAACAUUAGGAUUAAUAGAAGGCAUGAUAAUUCUAACAAGAAAAAGAUGUGUCACCUCAGUUAGGUUGUGAACAAGUCCCUCCAAAGAAUUUUAUCAAGAGUUAAUUGGUGAGAAAAAACAUUAUGAGAGAGAUCAAGUGAAACCAAAUUUGACGAGUGGGAGAUUUGGGAUGGGACUUUUCCUGUAAAUAACGUUUUUUAGAUGUUAAGAUACACCAGCCUUGUAAACCGACCGAACUAGGAUGGAAUUUUGGAAAGAUUAAAAUCAUUGUAGGCAAGGUUGAGUUUUUGAAGGUGAGGAAGGAGGAAGAGAGUGGUAUUGGAAGGGAAGUUGCCAUAUAGCCAACUGCAGCUCAAGUCAAGGGCAAUAACAUGAGCAUUAAGGUGAUGACAAGUGACCCCAUACCAUGAGCAGCAAUCUGUACCCUCCUUCCAUGAAUUUGUCUUGGGAUAAGAUUUAAGGCCGUCAAAAUCAUCGCAAUACAAAGCAGCAUGGUCUGUCUGAGUGAUCGAAAAUGAAUUCUUGAACUGGAUUAGAGAAGCAGCUUCGUGGUGAGAGCAGGAGUGAGAUCCUGAAGAAGAAGAAGCAUAAAGAUGGGGAAAGAAGAGGAAUAGGCAGAGAGAGAGAUAGGGGCCAUGUUAUGUUUGUAGAGGAAGAUGAAGGAUAGGAAUGGUAUUUAUAGGCAACAAAUAGAAUCCAAUAUUAAACAAAAGCUUUGAUGAUUAAUACCACAACACCACUGUUACAGUGUUGUUUCUUUUAUGGUAUAAAGAUUGUUAUUGGAAGAGUUUGAAAUGCUGACAUUGAAAACCUAUAUUUUUCAAUACUCAUCAACAACCACUUCCUUUUUACCAUAUCUUUUUCAUUCCCAAAAUUGGAUACAUUGUUUUACCAAAAUUUUGUAUUUCAUUUGAACUCCCUAAACAACUGAGAAAAUUAACAUUGAUGAGAUUACAAAAUAGAUUGACUUAGUCUUCUUCCUUAUAAUACGUAAAAAAAAAUGUGAGUGUCUAUUCACUUAUAAUAUUUCCAUGCUAGAGGUAGUUUUUGGAAAAUCUUUAAUUAAACCUUAAUUUCAUUUUGUUAAAAUUUUUAACUGGAUUAUCGAAUUGGCUUCUGAUUGUAGGUUGAUCAAUGAUGGGCUGAUUUCUUCUUCUUCUUUUUUAAUUUUUUUAGGGUUUAUAAUAUACUGCUUAAUGUUGUUGAUUUAUUUUUCUGAUCAUCGUUUCAUUCGUUUGUUGAAGAUAACUGAAUUUUUAUUGGUUGUAAUUGGACUUGGGUUUUAGCCAAUGACUAUAAUCAAAGGGUUAAUUUAAGGUUCGAAUGAAUUAUUUGAAAAUUUUAUUAUUUUUCUUUUCAAUUAGUUGUUUUACAAGGAUUUAACUUAUAUUAGUCAAAUGAACUGGGUUUAAAAAAUGAACAAGAACGAAGAAAUUGGAUGGUUGACUGGACACUGGAAAGGGGAAAAGCUAAAAGUUGUAAAUGUUUUGAAUAUAGAGUUGUAUUCUUUUCAUGGCUUCAGAAAAAUGUAUGCAAUGUUUGGCCAGCGAUAAUGGACAAGUUUUUUUAAACCUCCAUGCCUAAGUCAUGCUUUCAUAAACAUGGGCAGCUAACACCGAGAAGUCAGUAAGCGAUUUAAAAGUGAAGCUCAUAUGCGUCAUUGCUACUCGCUUUGCAGCUAAACUCCUGAGUGACCGGGGAUGGUUGAUUUGAGGUUUAAUUCUAGCUAGUAGAUUCUUAGGUUUGUUAAGGGUCUUUUUGGAGACAAAUGUCUGAGAUUGCUGGAAAAUGCUUCUUACCAUCAUAUUAAUGUCUAUUCGGGUUGCGUUUUCUUAGAGUUUUGGAUUCUUUGCAUCUUAUCAUAAAAUUGAGUUAGAUAUAACAUGUCAUUGUUAUCUGUUAAUUGUUUCACUUGGGACCAGGAGCAUGGUGGCAACUCAAUACAGCUGUAAAUGCAUAUUUCAGCGAGGGUGAUAGGUAUAUAUUUAUGAAUUAUGCUAAUAUUUUGUUAUGAUAAGUAAUUCUAGGUUUAUAGCUUUAUUGGUUUGUUUGUUUUCUCAUGUUUCCUACAAAAAUAAGGCCAACAUCAACCAUAGUUUCUGUAGAUUAUGCCAUGGAUAUAAAUGAUCCAAAUGAAGUUGUACCAAAUGGGCCAGUCCCUUCCAUUUCUACCAUCAUCUAGAACAAACGAACAAUCGUCUCUUCAUCAUCGAAACUUCCAUAGCAGUUUCUUCGAUGGUGAUUCUGGUUCAACUUAUGAACCAAUUGAUACAUAUCCAACAGAGGUGAGAGGGGUUAAGUAUAGCCAUGAGCCAUCUAGUCAUGCUCCUGUUGUUGAGGAUGCCUCUGAAACUGCACAAGCUCUCGGCCCGAAUUCCCAUGAGACUGUUACAAUUGGUGAAGUAGGUGACGAUUCAAUUGCGCAGCCAAGGUGGCAGAAUGAUAACUGUAACAACCAGCAUGUUACACCCAGCGCUCCUGCCUUUGAUAAUUUGCUAGACUAUGGCGAUGACAUUGAAGAACAAAUGAUUCAAGCUGCCAUUGAGGCCUCUAAGCGGGAUGCUGAGGCAAGUUUUAAAAAAAGGACGCUUCCAAUUUGAUAGUGUUGUGGUGCCCUUCAUUCUUGUAGUUGCUGUAAAUGCUUGUUUUACAGAUUGCCUUUUUCAUGUUUAAAGUGUUAAAGUGUUGCAAAUUGAAGUGUUUUAAGUAAUGCAAAUUGAAUUGUUUAGUUGCUGGAAAUUGAGAUGUUUUAUGGCCGUAAUUGAGUGUAUAAAUGUUGUAAAUUGAAGUGUUUUAUUGCUGGAAAUUGGAUGCAUGGUAUAAUGACAUGAUAGAAUGUCAUUACAAUGUUGUAACUUUUUGAUGUUGUAAAAUCAUAUGGAUUAUGACAUCUAAACUAAUGAAAUCGUGUAACUUUUUAUUAAUAUAUGAAUAUUAUGUUGGGAUGUGAAAUAUAAUUCUCAAGUUAUUUAUUACUUCUAAUAUCUAAUAUUUCAUUGUAGAAUAAUUAAAAUUAUUUGUUUCACUAAUGAUAUUUUAGCACAUUCAAUAUCUAUUGCAGUUUAAAAAUAAUAAUUUAGAUUAUAUAUUAUUUUUAUAGUAUUAUAUAUUAUGAUUUUAGUAAAUUCAUAUAAUAGUAAUUAUAUUAAGAAUUUUAUUAAAUUAUAUUUAAUAAUAAUUAUGUUAAAAUAUGGUUAAAUUAUUUAUUAUCUUUAUUAAAUUAUUUUUAAUAAUAAUCUUUUUAAAAUUUAAUAACAAUAACAAAAAUCAUCUACUUAAAAAAGAUUCUGCUAAGGGUAUUCUAGUCAUUUUAGUUUUUUCCUUAUGCAAUUACAACAUCAUUCCAUUCAACCAAACACAAGAAUACCAUUACAGUUCUAUUCCGUUCCAUUCAACCAAACAAUUGAAUUACUGAUUACAGCUCUAUUCCAUUACAGUGAACCAAAUAUAUCCUUAGUAUGAAUGGCUGUCGAGGCAUGUAGAAAUUUGCACACAAAAGAACAAAAUUGUGCACUACUUAAAACUUCAAAGCAUGUGUGGCCUUAAUUUAAUUUUUCAUCUUUUUUAGCCCUUAAACCUACAUUGUUUAUCAGAUGAAAAAAUUAAUAUCUAUUAACUUUGCUAAUGUGCAAGCAUAUGCAACUUCUUUUAAAUCUAAAAAAUAUAAAAAUAAUUAAAUAUGUAUAAAUCUAAAGAUAUCUUAAACUUAAAACUAAAAUUUUUUAAACUAAUGCAAAUUUUUAUUAUUUAAAAAAUCUUAAAAUUUUCAAAUUAAAUUCCAUUUGUUUUCCACCGUUGAAGAACACCUUUAAUCACAACUUCAUGCUGUAUUGCCUAGAAAUUGUUUUGCAAAUUUAUUUUGUUUUAUUUAUUUCUAAACCCAUAUUUCUUUUCUAUAACUCCAAUUAUUAGAUUGUUUAGGGUUUUGAGUAACUUUCGAUUUUGGAAUUUUAGAUUUUUUAAAUUUAAAUAUGAAGUGCUCUUCUUCUUCUCCAAACCCACAAAUUUUUCUGCCAAAUUUCUACUCAAGGUUUUACUUUCAGCUAUAAAUAAAGCGUAUAUUAUAUUUAUAAUGAUCUAAGAAUAGUAGAGUCGAUGCCGAUCUACAUGAAAAAGGAUGAAAAAAAAAGGCAAAGAAUGAUAAUAUGAAGAGAGCAUAAAUCAAUAAAGCAAAUGAAAAACGAGCAGGAUUAAAGUAAAUGGGUAUUUAAUAUUUUUUUGUGAAAGUUCAAAGACUGAUUAUUUAUAAAAUUGGAUGUGGAAAAAUUAGUUGGAAUUUUUUUUCUUACACCAAUUGAUUUUUUAUAUAAAAUUUUUAUUUAUUUUUAAGUGUUGAAACCACUUUUUGAAAACAAAAAAAAAGUGUUACUUUUAUUUUGAAAACGGAAACGAAAAAAUGGGAGUCGCCACCGAUAUUUUUUUUGAGGUGUGAUCGGAUCACCUUAAAACAAUUUUGGUCUACGAAUAAAAAAAUGGGUCCGGGAGUCAAUUACGUAGGAGGAAGGAUUAGCACCCUCAUAACGCCCAAAAUUGAUACCGAAUUGCAUAAUUAAUGUCUUAAAGUCGAAUGUCGAAAAUUCAAAAAGAUUAAAAAUGAUCCCCUUUAAUUAAUGACAUAUUUUUAAACAAUAUUUGUAUAAAUUUGAUCAUAUGUAGAAAGGUCUUCUCAUCCUGAGUCAACAAAAUGUCGUAUCCCAUAAGUUAGGAUGCGACAUUUAGAUUUCCGAGCAUAAUCUAGCCUUUAAAACCCUUUAUUGAAACUUUAUGUAUUUGAAAACUAAAAAUGUUUGACCAUCUUGGUUCAAUGAGGAAAUCGAAAACCCGUAAGUUAGGACAAAUUUCCUCAAAGUUCCAAAGACGAUAUAUACGUUUGCCUUUAUUUAAAAAAAAAAGAUACUCGGUUACUUAAAUUCAACGAGGAAAAUUGGAGCCUAAUAAGUUAGGGCACAAUCUUCUCGAAAAUAUUGGAUACCGGGUAUUACGUUAUUUUGAAAACUUUGAAUAAAAUGAUUUCAAUACUUUGACUAAACGCAACAUUUUAAAUGAAUAAAAUGCGAUGGAACAAUAACGUAUAACGCGAAGUGAUAAUUCGUAAACUAAAAUAUACGCUAAUGAUCGACAAAGAAUCAAUGAAUACGAGUAAGCAAUACAAUACAUCAUAUAAGAGCAACAAUCUCAUAUCCCACAUUAUGCAAAUACUAACAUCCAUUUUAGCAAGCUAAAUGAAUUAAAAGUUAAUUAAAGAACAGCAAGCAAAUUAAUGUAAAUCUAAUAUAACAAGCUUUAAAAUAAAAUAAAAAUAAAAAUCAUGAAAAAGAGGAAAAUUCAAACACUAAAUUGUAUGUAUAAAAUAUUUGGCACAAAUAAUAUAUAGGAAAACUUGCAAUAAAAAAAUGAAGAAAAUAAAGAAUAAAUAAGAUGCAAAAUAAUACAUGUUCAUCUAAAUAAGUAGUACAUAUAAAAUAAAAUUUUAAUAUAAAUGUUGAAAUAAACAAAGCGUGUAAUUGAACAUCAUUUCCACUAACUAGAUCCUUCUUCGUCAACUGCUGCGAUUGCCUUUCUUUGACUUUCUUUUUCGCCUCUUCUCAUGUUGGUUUUCAACCAAAUUCACCAACCAUUUCGGUUUUCCAGUUUGGAAAACAACAUAUCCCACCAACAUUCCGAACACUACUCCGCAUCCAUAACCUAUCAACACCACUUUCCAACCAAAAGUAAUGUUUGAUUUUGAGCCAUCUUUUUCAAGCACAUCUGGAGGUGUUGGCGCAAUGAUGUUGCAACCUUUCGAGACCGGAAACCCACAUAUGAAUCAUUUCCAAAUGUGUUGAAUUGUUUGCCUUGAGGAAUCUGACCAUGGAGUUGAUUUUCAGAAACAUUUAAGGACAAAAGAAAUGGCAGAUCUACCAAUCUAUUUGGAAUGGUUCCAGACAACCUGUUUGAAGAUAGUGUUGGCACAUAAUUAAAUUAACCUUGCACAAAUAAAUUAUGAAAAGUUAGAAGAGUGAAGAGACUUGAAUAUGAAAAGUGAAAAAACUUGAAUAUGAAUAGUGAAGAGACUUGAAGAUGAAAAGUUAAGAGGCUUGAAUAUGAAAAGAUACACACAUGCAUGAAUAGUCACAACUCCUAGCAUAUAGUGAUAUAGAUGAAUAGUCACUUACAACUCCUAUAUAAAGAGUUGUAUGUGAUGAAGAAUUAUUAACUUUGUGUGCUUGAAAUAAAAGAUUAUUUGAAAGAAUUUUUUCAUACAAAAUUUAUUUCUCUUCUCCAUUAUAUUCUUUAUCAUUUUCUUUGUUUUAUUUCUCCAAAUAUUAAUCAUUCAACUACAAAUUGGUAUCAAAGCCUUGUUCAAUCGAAAUGAACAAUUCUAUUCCUCUUUCUUCCGUUCCCCAAUUAACCAAAGAAAAUUAUGGCAAAUGGAGUAUCCAAAUGAAGGCUCUUCUUGGAUCUCUAGAAGUUUGGGAGAUUGUUGAAAAAGGUUAUAAUGAAGUUGAGGGUGAAGAGGAGGAAGGAUUAACACAAGUUCAAAAAGAGAGUCUAAGAAAAUCAAGGAAGAAAAAUCAGCAAGCCUUAUUUUGGAUAUAUCAAGGAGUUCAAUCAUAUGAAGCGGCUUGGGAAAAAAUAGCUUGUGCCACCACGGCAAAACAAGCAUGGGAAUUUUUACAAAAUUCAUUCAAAGGAGAUGAAAAGGUGAAAAGAGUUCGGUUGCAAACUCUUUGAGGAGAGUUUGAAAGAUUGCAAAAAAUAGAGUCAGAAUCAGUUUCUGAUUACUGUUCACGGGUUUUGUCCAUAGUCAAUCAAUUAAAAAGAAAUGGUGAAACUAUGGAUGAUAUUCGUGGUGUUGAGAAAAUCCUCCGUUCUUUAGAUUCCAAAUUUGACUACAUUGUGGUUGCCAUAGAAGAAUCAAAGGACUUGAGUACCAUGACUAUUGAUGAACUCACAGGUUCGUUGCAAGCCCAUGAAGAAAGAUUAAACAAGAAGAAAAAGGAAGUAGAUCUAGAUCAAGCACUUCAGUCAAAGUUGUCUCUAAAUGAGAAUAAGGGAGAUUUUAAAAAUCAAAGAGGGAGAGAUCGUGGUCGUGGAAGAGGAAGAAAUUUUAGAGGAAGAGGCUCAAAUGCUCGUGAAAGAGGUGAAGAUGUAAGCAUGGAGAAUGGAUGGAAAGAAGCCAACCAAAGUCAAAAUUUUAGAGGAUCACAAAGAGGACGUGGACGUAGAAAUCAAAGAGGAAGAGGUCGUGGCUAUUUUGAAUGUUAUAAUUGUCGCAAACCUGGUCAUUUGGCAAGUGAAUGCUGGUACAAAGAAGAAGAGAAAAAUGAAGCUAAUAUAGUACAAAAUAAUCAAGAGCAAAAGCAAGAAACUUUGUUGCUCGUAUCUCAUGGUGGAGAGAUUGAUGAUGUCUGGUACAUAGACAGUGGUGCUAGCAAGCAUAUGACAGGUAACAAAAAUUUAUUUUCGAAGUUCUUUGAAUCUGAUUGUGGAGAAGUAAAAGUAGGAGAUGGCAAAGCUUACAAAGUUAGCGGUGUUGGUGAGUUGGAGUUCAAAACAAAGCAAGGAAGGGUAGAGAAAAUGUCUGAAGUUUAUUUUGUUCCUGGUCUUAAAAAUAAUCUGCUUAGCGUUGGGCAUCUCUUGAAGAAGGGGUAUGAUAUUCAUUUCCGAGACAUGGCUUGCUAUUUAUCAAAGAAAAAUCAGGUUGUUGCUAGAGUUGGAGUGGCAUCAAAUAAUCUUUUCUCUCUUACCCUUCAAAAUCAGAAUAUGUCUUGUUUUAUUGGUGCUCAUAAAGGAAUUUCAAAGUUAUGGCAUGAUAGAUAUGGACAUUUAAACUAUGGAAAUUUGGAGAUGCUUUCAAGGAAGAUGAUGGUUAGAGGUUUACCAAAAAUCGAUCGGCUUGAUGAUGUUUGUGAAGCAUGUCAACUUGGAAAGCAACAUAAAAUUGCUUUUCCUUCUCAAUCCUCGUGGAAAGCAAGAAGACCAUUGCAACUUAUUCACUCAAAUCUUUGUGGUCCAAUGACAGUUUCAUCUUUAGGAGGUAAUCGUUACUUUAUCUCUUUCAUUGAUGAUUACUCAAGAAAGUUAUGGGUGUAUUGUGUCAAAGAAAAAUCAGAGGCUUUUCAGAGAUUCAAAGAUUUCAAGGCAGAAGUGGAGAACUUUACUGGGUUGAAAAUUAACACCUUGCGUACAGAUCGUGGAGGUGAAUAUUUUUCAAAAGAAUUUGAGAAAUAUUGCCGAGAUAGUGGCAUCCGGCAUGAAAUGACAGUCCGCCAUACACCUCAGCAAAAUGGUGUGUGUGAAAGAAAGAACAGAACAAUUAUGGAAAUGGCUAGAUGUCUUCUUAAUAAGAAGAGGUUAUCAAGAAGAUUUUGGGCUGAAGUUGUUUCCUGUGCAGUUUAUCUUAUAAACAGAUCACCGACAAGAAGCUUGGAGAAUUACACACCACAUGAGGCGUGGUAUGGUAUAAAGCCUAGUGUUAGUCAUCUUAGAGUAUUUGGGAGUGUUGCCUACUCUCUAUUCCAGAUGCAAUGAGAAGCAAGUUGGAUGACAAGUCAGAGAAAUGCAUUUUUAUUGGCUAUAGUGAAAGAAGUAAGGCAUACAAGUUGUAUAAUCCGGUGACAAAGAAGAUUGUGAUAAGCCGAGAUGUUCGGUUUGAUGAAAAUUCCAUGUUUGAAGAUAUGGAAGUUGAAAAGGAAAAUUUGCCAAUUUUUCCUUUUGAACUUGAAGAAGAAGAAGAGGCAGUAAUUGAGAAUGCUGAAGAUGAUGCUCAAGUAGAAAAUCCUCCUGCUUCCCCAUGUUCUUCAUCAAAUUCUUCUUCAUCCAGCCCGAUCCGAAAAACGAGAAGCAUCCAAGAGUUAUAUGAUGUAACGGAUGAAGUUGUGCAAAAUGAUGCUGUAUUCUUUGCCUUCUUUGCAGGAGAAGAUCCAAUUUCUUUUGAUGAUGCAUAUCAAGAAGAAAUAUGGAGGAAAGCCAUGAAAUAAGAGAUUUUCUCAAUUGAAAACAAUGAUACAUGGGAACUCACAGAUUUACCGCCGCACAAGAAUUCAAUUGGAGUCAAAUGGGUGUACAAGACAAAGAUGAAUCCGAAUGGCUCUAUCAACAAGUACAAGGCAAGACUGGUUGCAAAAGGAUACAAGCAAAAGGAAGGAGAAGAUUUUACAGAGGUAUUUGCUCCAGUUUCAAGACUUGAGACAGUUCGGUUACUUAUUUCUCUUGCUGCCCAAAAUAAUUGGAAAAUAUUCCAAAUGGACGUAAAAUCUGCGUUUUUGAAUGGUGUUCUCAAAGAAGAAGUCUAUGUUGAUCAACCACCAGGGUUUGUCAAAAAAGGAGAAGAAGAAAAAGUUUACAAGUUGAAGAAAGCUUUGUACGGGUUGAAGCAAUCACCCAGAGCAUGGUACAGCCGCAUCGAUUCUUAUUUUCAGAAGUGUGGAUUCCAGAAAUCUCCAUAUGAGCAUACUCUCUACAUCAAAGGCAAUUAUCAAGGAAGAUUCAUGGUUGUAAGUCUCUACGUUGAUGAUCUUAUUUUCACAGGAAAUGAUGUGAAGAUGUUGAAAGAAUUUCAGCACUCAAUGAUGGCAGAAUUUAAGAUGACAGAUUUGGGAGAACUUCAUCAUUUUCUUGGCAUUGAAGUUCAUCAAUCCGAGAAAGGAAUUUUUAUUUCACAAGAGAGCUACGCAAAGGAAGUUCUAAAAAAAUUCAUGAUGGAAAAUGCGAAUCCAGUCUCUACUCCAUGCAUUACAGGUCUGAAGUUAUCUAAAGAGGGUGAAGGAAAGCUUGUCAAUUCCACCAUAUUCAGAAGUUUGGUUGGGAAGUUGAUGUAUCUGACUUCGACAAGGCCUGAUAUCGUGUAUGUUGUUAGCUUGGUAAGUAGAUUCAUGGAGAAACCUUACUCCAAUCACUGGGAGGCUGCCAAGAGAAUAUUGAGAUAUGUGAAGGGAACCAUUGAUUAUGGAAUUUUCUAUAAAUCUAAUACAUUAGUUGAUCUCAUUGGUUAUACGGAUAGUGAUUUAGCAGGAAGCAUUGAUGAUAGCAGAAGCACUUCUGGUUAUGUUUUUCACCUUGGUAGUGGUGCAGUUUCAUGGAGUUCAAAGAAACAAUCAAUUGUGGCGCUUUCGACUAUAGAAGCUGAAUAUAUCGCUGCAUCUUAUGCAGGAUGUCAAUUGAUUUGGUUACGUGGAAUUUUGGAAAGUCUUAAGCAGAAGCAAAGCAAGUCAACAAUUUUGUUUUGUGACAAUAGUUCUACUAUUUCGGUCACAAAAGAUCCAAUUCUUCAUAGAAGGACAAAACACAUUCGCAUUCGAUAUCACUUCUUGAGAGAACUAGUGAAUAAUGGUGAUGUUCAAGUUGAAUAUUGCAAGACGGAAGAUCAGAUGGCUGAUAUCUUCACAAAGCCUCUAAGUGGACAAGUCUUCAAGAAAAAUGUUGAAAGGUUGGGAGUUCAAAGCAAGUUUAAUUUAAGGGAGGCAUUGUUGGCACAUAAUUAAAUUAACCUUGCACAAAUAAAUUAUGAAAAGUUAGAAGAGUGAAGAGACUUGAAUAUGAAAAGUGAAAAAACUUGAAUAUGAAUAGUGAAGAGACUUGAAGAUGAAAAGUUAAGAGGCUUGAAUAUGAAAAGAUACACACAUGCAUGAAUAGUCACAACUCCUAGCAUAUAGUGAUAUAGAUGAAUAGUCACUUACAACUCUUAUAUAAAGAGUUAUAUGUGAUGAAGAAUUAUUAACUUUGUGUGCUUGAAAUAAAAGAUUAUUUGAAAGAAUUUUUUCAUACAAAAUUUAUUUCUCUUCUCCAUUAUAUUCUUUAUCAUUUUCUUUGUUUUAUUUCUCCAAAUAUUAAUCAUUCAACUACAGAUAGGUCCAACCAUUCAAGACUUGUCAAAUCCCCUACUGAGGUAGGGAUACCACUAUUAAGGUUAUUAUGAGAAAGGUUGAGCCCUUUCAGUAAGUUAAGCUUCCCAAUAACCUUUGGAAUCUCCCCUUCAAACUGAUUGCUUGAUAGAUCAAUGAUCACCCACAUAGUGAAAAUUUUCACCAAUUCCACGUCUUGUCCUUUCAUAACAAUUCCAAUGGAAUAGGCAUAGAAGUCAUCUCCAUCAUUCACCCCCAUGUACGACACUGUACUACUAACCUUCUCUAGAUUUAUGAUAGCCUUGAAGCUGUUGAUGUAUCUCACUAGUAGGGGUCCAGAAAAAUAAUUACUUGAGAGGUCAAAAAUUUGGAUUUUAGAGAAAAAAGGGCUAGACUUGGAGUUAUUGACACACAGGGAACCAUGCAUUUGAUUUGACUUUAGUACAAGAACUUGUAGCUGUGGAAGACUUCCCAACCAAUGAGGAAAUGUAUCAUUGAUCUUGUUGUUACCAAGAUCUAGUACUUCCAGACCUCUACAAUUAAGGAUGGAUGGUGUCAAAGGCCCUCCUAACAGAUUUCCAUUUAAAUUGAAAUUACUCAAUUGGCAUCCCAUUGCAAAUGUUGGAGGAAUCGUCCCAUAGAACUUGUUCUUCUUCAGAUUCAAGAAUUGAAGGCUGUUGCUCAAAUUUCCAAAACACUGCGGAAUUGUUCCACUCAAGUAAUUGUGGGACAAAUCAAGAAUUUGAAGAUAAGUGGCAUUGCAUAUUAAUGAAGAGACCUCUCCAUUGAAACAAUUAUUUGAGAUCAAAAAGACAGUGAUGGUCGAAGCUGGAAUCGGAAGAUUUCCACUGAUCAAAUUGGAGCUUAAGUCAAGAACAUCAAUAUUCUUCCAUGGAAAGUGCUCAGCUUCUGUCAAAGAGUUGUGAAAUACAUUUAAGUAAGUCAAAGAGCCAUUCCCCACCUCUUGCAUCCACUAUGGAAUCUUGCCUUUAAUUUUGUUGCAAGAGAGGUCUAAGCUUUCCAAACUUUUAAGCCCUUUUAAAAAUUGGGGGAAUUCACUAAGAUUGCAAGAUGACAAAAAUAACCAUUCAAGAUUUCCACUGAUCAAAUUGGAGCUUAAGUCAAGAACAUCAAUAUUAUGACGAUAUAUAAGUUUCCCUUUAUUUUUUAAAAAAAAACCUCGUCUCGAGAUAUCGAAAGGUCAUAUCCAAUGAGUUAGGACACAACGUUUUGAAUUCCCGAGAUAAGCUUUAAUUUGAAAUUUUUAUAUUUUAAUUAAAAAAUGAUACUCAGUUACUUAAAUUCAACGAGGAAAAUUGGAGCCCAGUAAGUUAGGGCACAUUCUUCUCGAAAAUCUUGGAUACCGGGUAUUACGUUAUUUUGAAAACCUUUGAAUAAAACGAUUUCUAUACUUUGAUUAAAUGCAACCUUUUAAACGAAUAAAAUGCGAUGGAACAAUAACAUACAACCCGAAGUGAUAAUUCGUAAACUAAAAUAUAUGCUAAUGAUUGACAAGGAAUCAAUGAAUACGAGUAAGCAAUACAAUACAUCAUAUAAGAGCAACAAUCUCAUAUCCCACAUUAUGCAAAUACUAACGUCCAUAUUAGCAAGCUAAAUGAAUUAAAAGUUAAUUAAAGAACAGCAAGCAAAUUAAUGUAAAUCUAAUAUAACAAGCUUUAAAAUAAAAUAAAAAUAAAAAUCAUGAAAGAGAGGAAAGUGCUAAGGGAUAAGAUUGAAGGCCCGUAAUAUGAUCGCAAGACAAAGAAGCACGCUCUGUUAUGGAAAAAGAGUUCUUGAACUGGAUUAAUGAAGAGCAGGAGUGAGAUCCUGAAGAAGAAAAAGAAGCAUAAAGAUGGGGAAAAAAGAGGAAUAGGGAGAGAAAGAGAUAGGAGGCCAUGUUAUGUUUGUAGAGGAAGAAGGAUAGGAAUGGUAUUUAUAGGCAACAAAUAAUACCACAACAUUGGUGUUACAGUCUUUUUUUUCUUUUACAUUGAAAUGCUACAGAUAUUAGAUUUUCAAAAUAUUUGUAUUUUUCACAAUCAUCAACACUUAGUCGUCAUUUUACCAUAUAUUUUUCAUUCUUUUUUUUUUUAACAAAAUCUUGUAUAUCAUUUGGACUCGCUAAACAACUAAAAAAAUAAAGAUUGAUGAGAUUACAAAGUAGAUUGACUUAGUCUUCUUCCCUAUAACAUGUAAAGAAUGUAUGUGUCUAUUCAAUUGCCUGUCAACCAAAGCUUAUUAAUGUGGAAAUUCUUUUCCACACAAAAGAACAAAAUUGUGCUCUAUUCAGCUACGUUUGAGGAAGGAGACGGCUGGAAAUUUAAUCCACCGAUUCCAUAAAAACGUGUAUAUUUAUUUAUAAAUAUAUAUAUAACCUCAUGAUUCAAAUCUAAAAUCUCAUUUGUUAUAAAUUCUUAUAAAUUUAUUUGGGAAUAGUUAUUUUUCAUUCGUUAAUUAUUUCUCUUUUAGCCGUGAAACUUAUAUGGUUCGUUAAAUCGCCCCAAAAAAUGAUAAAAAAGAUUAACAAAACUAGCCCCUACGUGGCUGAUGUUGACCCUUAGUAGUUAAUGGCAACUCCUAUGUAAUUGUUAACAGAUACCACAGCAACAAUGUUUGUUGACGUGACAAUGCCACAUGACCAAUAAUCGUUGUCAUGGUAGUGCCACGCCGUCACCCAUUGAUGACAUAUUAACCUUCGAGUUAAACUCAAAUUGCUCUUUCCUUUGUUAUAAAUUAAGAGUAUAACUAAUUUUGAUAAGAAUAGUUACUUUUCAUUAACUCAGUUUAAAGGACUAUAACACGUAAAGUUUGGUCUAUUGCAGAAUUCACAUGCAAUGCGGGAUAUUUACAUUUUGAAGAAUUCAACACAUAUAUGGGAAUUUUUGUAUUUCCACAAUCAUAAUUUUGUUAGUGAUCAACAACUACUUCCUCCUUACCAUAUAUUUUUCAUUCAUAAAAUUGAUUACUUUUUUUAUCAAAGAAGUAAAAUAAUUAACAUUCUUAAGAUUACAAAGUCUUCUUCCUUAUAACACGUAAAGUUUAGUUCCAAAUAAUUUUCCACAAAAAAAAGACCAUCAAUUGUCGAUUGACUAUACUUUAACUCCAAAAAAAAGACUAAGACUAUCAAUUGUCUAUUGACUACACUUUAACUCGACAAAAAAGGACUAAGACUAAGACUUUCAAUUGUCUAUUGACUUCACACUUGCGGUUGCUUCCUCCUAUCUCUCUCACCCAAACUUAAUUUAGAAGCAAUGGGGAAAUUUUGGACAUUUGGGCCACAAUGAACAAUACUUCCACACCAUUUGCAGUAUUGACUACGUUUACUUGAGGGAAAACAAAGACAUGAAUGCUGGAAAUUUUAACUAGUUUGUACCGUCAAUGAAGCUACGUACCUAAAAGCCUUUUAGGAUAUCAAUUCCUGUAAUUGGAUUAAUCUCAUCGUUGCUGCAAUCUUUUGACAGUGUAAUCGAAUCUUAAAUAUGUUACUCUGCAAUGCUGUUGUAAAAAUUACUCUUAAAAUUGUCGAUAGAUAUAUAGGUUUGGCACAAAAUUAAGAAUACACAAAGGCAGGUUGAAUUAUUCCAUGUUUGAACAUAAAUUCAUAUGGCAAAAGGGCCCAAACCAUACCUUAUGUUCAUGAAUUCUCAUCAUCACAUGUUUAUAAAUGCAUCUCAAAACUUGAAUAAUUGAAUCUUUUGUAAUUCUACAUGUAUUUUUUUUUAUGGUGAGCAGUAUAAUGUUUACUAAAAAUUGAAAUUCAAGAAAGAAGACAUACAUAGUUGCACCAUACAAGUUGUUACACUCGAACUAAACCCUUACAAAUAGUACGAGAUGCAAUGAAAUACAGAGGAAUUGGUACAAUCAUAAAGACAGACACAUACCAAUGCAACUUUUCACCAUAGGAAAAACUUUCUGACAGACUACUAAACAAGAAAUUAUGAAGACACAGCAGAAAUGCUUUGACUUCUUUUGCACCAACUAGAUCCUUCUUCAUCCAUUGAUGCGAUUGCUAUAUUUUGGCUUUCUUCUUCGCCUCUUCUCAUGUUGGUUUUCAACCAAAUUCACAAACCUUUUCACCUUACCGGUUUGGAAAACAACAUAUCCCAUGGCCAUUCCAAACACUACCCCGCAUCCACAACCUAUCAACACCACUAUCCAACCAAAAGCAAUGUUUGCUUUUGAGCCAUCCUUUUCCAGCACAUUUGGAGGUGGUGUCUCAUUGAUGCUGCAACCUUUGGAGACUGGGAAUCCACAUAGUCUCUGUUUCCUUCAUAUGAAUUGUUUCGAAAUGUAUUGACAAUCUGACCAUGGAGUUGAUUUUCAGAAACGUUUAAGAAGAAAAGAAAUGCCGGAUCUGCCAAUAUCUCUGGAAUUAACUCAGUUCAAAUGACCAUAUAACUCGUAAAGUUUGGUCGAAGACUGGCAGCGUCUAUUGACUUCAACUCUUGCUAUUACCUCAAGAAGAAAGACUGCUACAAUUCUAUCUUCUUUAAACCAGCUAUUUAAAAGCAAUAAGGACAUUAAAUCCACCAAUUUAUCUUUGAAGUCAUUCGUCAUGCAGCUCUGCUAUGUACGAUUAUUGGCAAAAAUCUUGAAAGGAGACAACCUCAAAUUUGAAGACAAGAAAUGAGCAAGAACAUGCACCAACGAAGAAUCGAUUAUUGUUUUGUAUUUGGUAAAUACAAUUUGAGUUAAAUAAUCAAGAAUGAUAGUGAAUAAAUAAGGAAAAACAAUGUAGAUUCAGAACCACAAUAAAUCAUAUUAAGCUCAUGAGUUUAUAAUAUAUAUCUCUGCAGCUUGAUUGCCUUGUUAGCUAUAAACAUAACCUGUUAAUUCCAUCAUUAAUACCAUUAGAUAUAUUUUGAUGGGGGAGAUUUUUUAGUAGGAAAACAGUUGAAGUCAUUCAAGAAGACAUAAACAGCUGCAACUACGUAAGAGUUUAACUUUGAGAAUAGAUCCUUACACGUUAUUGAAAUGCCAUACUAAAGAUAAAGACAUAUAGCUAAACGUUAGACACACCAUAAAAAUAUAUAUAGGUAAAGUGAUAGGGUGUGAGUAAGGAGGCCAUGCUAUGUUUUCAAAUAAGAUUAUCAUGGUAUGAAUUAUGAGAACCCUAUUUAUAGGAAGAACAAAACCGAUAUGAAACUAAGAAUAUAGUCCAUUGAUAAUGAAGAAUCUAAGAAAUUUAAUGGAAAUUGUGGAUAAGCAUCGUGUUUUUAUCUCUGAUGGAGAAAAGCUAAGAGUGUGAGGAAGACCAACUGUCAAUGUCACCCAAACCGAAUCUACAAGUCACCACAAUGUACAGUAAUUCAAAGCAGGAAAAGUUCAUAGUUUCAGAGUAAAUAACACUUCAAUGAUUGUAUUAUAGAAAACAUGUGUAUCCUAUAUAUGUUGAACAAUAUUAUCUAACAAACAUAUUUUCCAAAAGACUAGAAAAUUUGUGAUUAAAUGCUAAAGUUACAUAUUUUAUGUAAUUAAAUUGGUUAAUUUAUGAGAGUGCACCACUAAUUUUUCCAUGUUUUUGUUGAAUUUUGUGCAGGGGUGCAAUUUGGGGCUAAAUAGAAGAAAAAGGAAACAAUUGGGCUAGAUUGAAGAGAGAAGCAAAGAAGGAGGGCCAAAACAGAAUUUUUCCAGAUUAAUUAGCUGAAAUUUUUGUUGACUUAGUGGGAGAUUAUUUUGGGAUUUUUUUUUAUAUCAUGGAAUAUUUUUCCUUAAUUUUCUAUACUAGUUGGCUUUUAAUUUAGCAAGGCCACUAGUAUAAAUAGAGGCUACAUUGUUCAUUUUAAUCAUCAAGUCUUGAAUCAAUUCAUAAAUCAAGCUUUCAUCUUUCAAUACAUUCUCUCUUUUCUACUCACAAAUUUAUUUGUUGUUUUUAGUUUCAUUUACUUUCAAUCCAUUAAUUUCCAGCUUGUUACCACUUAAACCAUUUUCAAUUUCUUUUUCAAACUUUCUUUCCAUCUCCAGUAGCUAAUUCACUUUAUUACACCCCCAAAAUUCCAGCCCCCCAAACUAAAUCACGCCACCCAUUCCUUUCACCCAUUUUACCUUAUUUAAUUUAUCCAAUACCAACAUGCCCCAAACCUUAGCCAACUAAAUUCAUUUCCAGCUUUAGGUCGGAAUUAGCCUCGUCAAAACCCGUGAGUUACGAACCCGAGCAAAUUAACUCCUAAAUUUUAGUACUUAUUAUUUCUCCGGAUUAAGAGUAUGAUUUUGUCAACUCACAAAGUCAGAUCAACAUUAAGUUAAAAAAGACGUCGUUUGAUUUAGUGUGGUUAGACGUACAGUUGGAAUUCCAAAAAGAUCGAUUCUAAUCGGUUUUCUGUGAACACAUUGGCGUGCCAAUUGGAGAUUGCUGUUUGGUUCCGUCAAGGGAAGUAGUAACCCGAUUUAAAUGUCCCACGCGGUUGAGGGCAUUGGUUCGAGCUAGGGUUUUCUAGAACGCAAAGCUGCCGGAGUUCUAAAUCACGAACAUUUCGUGGUUGUUCGAUCAGUAAGGGUUAGUUAUUGGACGUUCCAUAACUAAUUUACACAAGGAAGAGUUAGUGUCUGAGGCGUCCUUGGUAGCUAUAACUAGCUUAUUGGAAAAGAGGAGUUCAUCUAAUUUUGAGAAUCGGUUCAAAGACGAGGAAAAUUCGUGCCUAAAGCUGAGCUUAUUCUAAUUAAAUUUUCUUCAUAUUUAUUUAACUAUUUUAAUUAUUCUGUUUUCAACUUUAUCUUUUCACGCAUUUUAUUUAUUUAUUUCAGGUCUUCAAAUUUUAUCCCCCCGAACUUCUUGGGCACGACAACUGCCCCAACAUAAAUCUGGUCAAAAUAGAAACAAUUUGCAGUAAACCCAGUCUCUGAGGGAUCGACCCUACUCCCUAUACUGUUUAAAUCGCAAAUUAGGCGUAGGUUUAUAUUGGUGGAUUCGACACCCAUCAAUUUGUAUGUCAUUUUCUAUUACUUGCAAGAAAACUACAGGGGAAAUUGCAUUUCUAAUUCAUCCAUAGGCUUUAAAUUCAAACAAGAAAAAGGAAAAAGAAUAUAUAUAUAUCAACAGGAAACUUCAAGGAGAGAAAUUUUGUUACAUCAAUUUUCCAGUCAUAUUUAAUCUUUACCCAAAGUUGAUUCUAGAUUAAAUUUGGAAAAAAUUAAAAAAGAGGACAUGUAUUUUUUUUUAUUUUUGAAAAGUAAAGGAUUAUAUCUCAGCCAAAUAAAAAAGUCACAAUGCAAAGCCAAGAGCCAAAGCCAAGCCAAGCACACACUCAACUAGCAGACAUAACUCAUACAGGACCUAGAUGUAUUAUUGAACUCUUAUAUAAAAGACAACUGAAGAUGCAAAGCUUAAUUGUUAAGCUUUUCUGAUGCUUGAUAAGCAUAGUUUUAGUUCAGUUCCGAAAUCUAAACUGCUUUGCUAUGGGAUUAUUUUUAUAAGUACAUUGAGAUCAAUGCAUGCUAUUGCGAUUUAUUAUCUUUGAUGCCAAGGAAAUGACAGAAUUCAAAGACCAAAAGGUUCGAUUACAUACUAGAUCAUGGAUGUAAGCCAAUCUACAACCUCUCUCCUCGACCUCCAUGUGAAACCAGCAUGAUUUGAAUUCUCAGCCGCAUAUACCCUCACAAACUCCUCAGCAACAACAUAAAACAUAUACCUAACACUCCUUUGAGAACCGAUAACUGCACAGACAGAUUCACUAAUGGAAGCCUUCAAGAAAUAUUGAACCACACAAUUACCACACUUCUGUGAAAUAAACUUGUUGGUGCAAAGAGACAACAAUAGACUGUUUUCAAUCUUGCUUGUAUAGCAAGCCUCGAGCCUUGCUGAAGAAACAAACUCAAAAGCAAGAACAGAAACACAUGCGAAUGAAAAACAAAAGAAAUUGAGAGAGAGAGUAUUUUGAAUGAAAAGAGCUGAUAUUUCAUUAACAAAUCCAGAAGGCAUAAUGCCAUUACAUAUAAUAGAUAACAACAACAAAAUGAACAAGUCUUUACCUAAUGACAUACCUAACACCACUAAAUUUACAUUGGAAAUUGUUAAUCAGCUUGCUUAAGUUUCUUUGCUGAUUUUUUCAGUCAAUCAAUCAACAAAAAACAUCAUAAGGUUUACCAACUUAGUUCAACAUGAACUAGAUUACAAAAUAAUAAUUAAAAAUACAAUCAAAACAUAACAAGUAGUUAGGCAACUUUAAGCUCCAGUUUCUGCACUUCAUAGCUCGACUGCUUGCUGCCACUUCUCCUUGCAUGGCCACCUUUGCAUGUCUUGCAUGGGAACUAAAUUCAACACUCCUCCUUAGUUUCCAUGCUAGUGACACCUAAUUGCCUUCUUAAUUUAACAAAUUUAGACACAUUGAGUGCCUUUGUAAAGAUAUCAGCAAUUUGCUCUUCUGAAUUGCAAUGAACCAGCUCGAUUUCAUGAGCUUGCUCCAUCUCCCUUAUGACAUGUAGCUUGAUGUUGAAGUACUUUGCUCUACCAUGAAAGAUAGGAUUCUUUGCAAUUGCAACAGCAGAUUUGUUGUCACAGUAAAUCUCUGUUGCCUUUCCUUGAUUUUGAUUUAAAUCAGCUAGGAUUUUUCUAAGCCAUAUGGCUUGAUUUACAGCAGAUGCAGCAGCAACAUAUUCAGCUUCUGCUGUUGACUGUGCUACCAGACUUUGCUUUUUAGAACUCCAGCAAAACAUGCCUGAGCCAAGACUAAAGGCAUAUCCAGAUGUGCUUCUCAUGUCAUCACAAGAUCCAGCCCAGUCACUAUCAACAUAGCCUAUUAGCUUCAUGUUUAUAGCCCUUUUGAACAAUACACCAUGAUCAAUGGUGCCUUUGAUGUAUCUAAGCACUCUUUUAGCUGCUUGAAAGUGCUGAUCAUUGCAGCAAUUCAUGUAUCUGGAUAGCACACUAACAGCAAACAUGAUAUCGGGUCUUGUUGCAGUCAAAUACAACAGACUACCAAUGAGACUUUUGUACAUAGUCUCGCAAAUUGGUUCACCACUCCCUUGCCUCGAAAGCUUCACUCCAACAGCCAUUGGUGUGCUUGUUGGCUUGCAGUUCUUCAUAGAGAACUUAUCCAGGAUCUUCAUAGUAAAAGAACUCUGACUAAGAAAGAUUCCCUUUGCUGUUUGCUUCACUUCCAUUCCAAGGAAGUAGUUCAUUCUGCCUAAAUCAGACAUUUCAAACAUUUCCAUCAUUUUUCUUUUGAAAUCUUCCAGCAUUCUUCUAUCUCCUCCAGUCACCAAUAAAUCAUCAACAUAGAGUGACAGGAUAAGCUGAGUUUCAGCUUGGUUCUUCUUCACAUACAGUGUUGGUUCACUGAGACUUCUCUCGAAUUCCAAACUGAGCAAGUAAGAAUCAAUUCGAGCAUACCAGGCUCAAGGAGCCUGUUUUAGGCCAUACAAAGCCUUUUUCAGUCUGUACACCUUGUGUUCUUUGCCAGUGACCACAAAUCCUUGAGGCUGUUCGAUGUAGAUCUCUUCUUCCAGGAAACCAUUGAGAAAUGCAGACUUAACAUCAAGCUGAUGAAUGGUCCACUGAUGUUGAGCAGCCAAGGCAACUAUCAUUCUAACUGUGUCAAGCCUGGCUACUGGUGCAAAUGUCUCCAGAUAGUCCAGACCAUACCUUUGGCUAAAACCUUUGACAACAAGCCUGGCUUUUAGCUUGUUCAGACUGUCAUCUGCAUUCUGUUUUGCUCGAUAGACCCAUUUUACUCCAAUGGUCUUCUUUCCAGUAGGUUUAUCAACUAGCUCCCAUGUCUGGUUCUUCUCAAUCAUGUUGAUUUCAUCGACCAUAGCUAGUUUCCAGCCUUCAUCUGCCUCAGCCUCUUCAAAACUGCUAGGUUCUGCUAUUGCAACCUGUGCCCUUUCAUAAAUAUCAUCUAGGGGCCUUGUGCCUCUCACAAGCACAUCAUCAACAUCCAUUUCAGGUCCUAGCUGCUCAAGUUCAGCUUGAUUAGGCACCAGGUCUUCUGAAGCAGCUUCUGGUUCAUUCUUUUCCCAAUUCCAACAAGCCUUCUCAUCGAAGAUGACAUCUCUGCUCACUUGAACUAUGUUUGUCAAAGGAUCCAGCACCCUGUAGCCCUUCUUAACUGAGCUAUAGCCUACUAGAACACCUGGUUGAGCCCUUUCAGAGAGCUUGUCUCUCUUAACUGCUGGUAUUUGUGCAUAACACAGGCAACCAAACACCUUCAGAUGUACCAAGGAAGGCUUGAAACCGGACCAAGCCUCGAAAGGUGUUUUGGAUGCAAGAGCUUUGGUAGGAAGCCUAUUUUGAAGGUAGACAGCAGUGUUUACUGCCUCAGCCCACAUGGUCUUGGGCAGUUUCUUCUCAAACAGCAGGCACCUGGCCAUAUCCAUCAAGCUUCUGUUCUUUCUUUCUGAUACCCCAUUCUGCUGAGGUGUGUAGACAUUUGUAAGCUGGUGUUUGAUACCAGCAUCAUUGCAAAUGGCUUGAAACUGAGCUGAAGUGUACUCAGUGCCAUUGUCUGACCUUAUCGAUUUCAGCUUGCAACCUGUUUCUGUCUCUACAGCAAUUUUAAACUUCACAAACACUUGAGCUACCUCAAACUUGUGUUUUAAGAAGAAAAUCCAGCAAAACCUUGUAAAAUCAUCAAUGAAGAGGAUGAAAUACCUAUUUUUCUUGAGUGAUUCAGUCCUCAUCGGGCCACAUACAUCAGAGUGCACCAGCUGUAGUUUUUUAGUAGCUCUCUAAGCUGAAUUUGUAGGAAAUGGCAGUCUUGCCUGUUUCCCCAUCUGGCAAACUUCACACACAUCAUCAUGCUCCACUGAGCUAGUAAAGUUCUCUGCCAAGCCUUCUUUGGCCAUUCGAGCCAAUGAUCUGAAGUUGGCAUGCCCAAGCCUUUGAUGCCAAAGCUUGGAAUCAUCAACAGAGGCUGUAUAUGCAGACUUUGAGUCAUUUGGCCAGUGUACCUCAAAGCAUUUGUUAGUCAUUGUGACUGUCAUAAGGCUUGAUCCACUUGGAUCAGCAAUGUGGCACUGUUUGUUCUUGAACACAACAGAAUAGCCUUUCUUGAGCAAUUGAGCUAUGCUGAGAAGGUUUCUGUCGAUUUCUGGCACUAACAGCACAUUUGGAAUGAUCUUGUUGCCUGUGGGGGUACAUAUCAGCACCUCUCCUCUUCCUUCAGCCCUUAUGAACUGACCAUUUCCAACCUUGACCUUGGUUUUACAACUUCUAUCCAAGGUUUUAAAUAAGGAGGCAUCUGGUGACAUGUGGUUAGUGCAACCACUGUCCAAUAACCAGCCUUUUGAGCAUUUCUUCUCAGCAGCUAAGAAAGAAACAGCAAAGACCUGCUCUUCUUGAUCACUACUGUCCUCAGCUACUCGAGCUUCAACCUUUGGUUGUUGAAAUUGACUCUGCCUUGACUUGGUUUUAUUUUUGCAAACCCUUUCAACAUGGCCUUUCUUCUUGCAGUGUUGGCAUACUGCAUCUGGCCUGAACCAGCAUCUGUCUUCUGGAUGACCUGGCCUCUUGCAAUGUCUGCAGGGCUGGUCAUUGCUCCUUGCAGUAUCAGGCUUAGGCCUGCUUUUCCAAGGCUUUUUACCUCUUGGAGCAUUGAUGCUCGAGGCUUCUCUGGCCUUGGCAUUGAAUGCACCUUCCUGGUGGUCUUCAGCUCUGCUAGCUCUCCUUUGUUCCUGAGCAUAGAAAGUGUUGAUUAGCUCAGUCAAAGAGAUGGUAGCAAGGUCUCUUGAGUCCUCAAGAGAGGAUAUCUUGGCCUCAUAUCUCUCAGGCAAAGUGGAGAGAACUUUCUCUACUAUCCUUGCCUCAUCAAAGUGCUCACCAAGGAGCCUUAUACUGUUAACCACUGCCAUGAUUCUAUCUGCAUACUGCUUCACUGUUUCUUCUUCCUUCAUCUUCAGGUUCUCAAAAUCCCUUCUCAAAUUCAAUAGCUGUUGUUGCCUUGUUCUCUCAGUGCCUUGAAACUCCUCCUUAAGCUUAUCCCAUGCCUGUUUUGGAGUCUCACAGGCCAUAAUUCUGGUGAAGAUGACAUUUGACACACAAUUCUGAAUGCAGGACAUGGCUUUGUGCCUUUUGGUCCUCUCAUCAGCAUGUUGCCUAAUCUGAGCUACUGUGGGAUUGGCCCUCAGUGGUGCUGGCUCAGCAUCUGUGUUGACAACUUCCCACAGAUCAAAGGCCUGUAGGUAAGUCUUCAUCUUGACCAGCCAUAUGUGAAAGCCUUCUCCAUUGAAGACUAGUGGGGCUGCUGGUGAAAAACUUGAGGAAGACAUUCAGCUUUCUUAGUUUGAUAAAACAGGUCCACUAAGAAUGAAGCUCUAGAUACCAAUUGUUGGUGCAAAUAGACAACAACAGACUGUUUUCAAUCUUGCUUGUAUAGCAAGCCUCGAGCCUUGCUGAAGAAACAAACUCAGAAGCAAGAACAGAAACACAUGCGAAUGAAAAACAAAAGAAAUUGAGAGAGAGAGUAUUUUGAAUGAAAAGAGCUGAUAUUUCAUUAACAAAUCCAGAAGGCAUAAUGCCAUUACAUAUAAUAGAUAACAACAACAAAAUGAACAAGUCUUUACCUAAUGACAUACCUAACACCACUAAAUUUACAUUGGAAAUUGUUAAUCAGCUUGCUUAAGUUUCUUUGCUGAUUUUUUCAGUCAAUCAAUCAACAAAAAACAUCAUAAGGUUUACCAACUUAGUUCAACAUGAACUAGAUUACAAAAUAAUAAUUAAAAAUACAAUCAAAACAUAACAAGUAGUUAGGCAACUUUAAGCUCCAGUUUCUGCACUUCAUAGCUCGACUGCUUGCUGCCACUUCUCCUUGCAUGGCCACCUUUGCAUGUCUUGCAUGGGAACUAAAUUCAACAAAACUCCUUCUGCCACUCGAAACAAUGACCAUUCCAAACAUUUUGAUAGACAAUACACAAUUUGCUUCACUACUUACUCACAUAGCCAAAAAAUAUCCAAUGAAACUGGCAAAGGGUUCUUCCAAAAUGGUACAUUAGCUGCCAAAAAGACAACCACCAUAUAUUCCUUCAUUCAGUAAACAGCUUCAAUAUGGAAAUAAGUUAUUAUCUUAAAAAUGCUUUUUCUACCACAGAAGAAUAAGAACUAGGCAUCUCAGAAAAUUUGCUAAAUUAAUGACUUUGCUCCCUUCAAAAUAAACAAAUGAUUAACUGCAUUAUCCCAAAGAGGUCACCAUCAACCUCCAGUUGAACUUUCAAGGAAUAAUAAUAAAAAAUAGAAGGAAAUAAGGGGGAAAAAACCCAACCAGAACUCAGUAAUAGCUGAGCCUUGAAGAUCUGUAGGUAGUAAGAGAAAAACCCCAUGACGACUAAAGUCCAGGCUUGAAAGAACCAAAAGGGAGCAACAUAUGACUAUGAUUCACUGGACCAAGAGAAUCACCAAUGAAUAAAGGAAAAAGGGUACUUUCCUUUAUACCUAAACAUACAAUAUUUAGCCUCAAAAUGGGAAAAUUUCAGGUUUUCACAAAGGGUUUAAGAAAGAGGGUGAAAGUUAAAGAACUUGUCUUUGUUUUGAUGUGUGGUACACGAGAUAGUGAAGGAAAAUAGAGGUGAGGAAAUAAGAUGGAGUAAGUGCCUAAGUGGUGAAAAAGGAGAGCCUAAAAGAGACAUUUUUGAAGGGUAGUUUAGAAGCUGCAGAGGCUUUGGCAUACAGCAGCUGAUAAUGAGAGAAGACAAACCAGAAAUGUAAGUACGACGACGAUAAAAAUUAAAAAAUUUUAAGAAUUAAUGAAAUAAAAUUUUGUAGCUUAGCGAAUUGGGACGAAGUCCACCAGUGUGAUGCCCAUAGAUCCAUACCUGGGAUUUUUCUAUUUGGGCUAACUUUCUAACUUCUCCCACCAGUCUUAAAACUUUGCAGAUUUUUUCAAUUUGAUCUGGAUUGUAUGAUAACAUAUCACUUUGAGAUUGGAAAAAAAAUUAUUUUUUUUAAAUUAGAGAAAAAAUAAAGAAACUAAAUUUCAAGCAUGCAAAGUACAAAAGAAAGAACUGUAUUAAUAAAAGAUGAGUUACUUCACUCAGAUUGGAGUACCCUUUAAACAAGUUUAUUCUUGUAGAGAAAGAAACUGGAUUUUGAUUUCAUUUGCUGUGGCAAAAUUUUUAAUUUCAACAACAGUAUAACAUAUUGAAAGCCUGCCUACAUCUCGGCAGAAAAAUUUACAAAUUCUUUCAUCAGACAAUUUAAAUGAUGCAAUGCAAAGAUUCAUCAAUGUAUGAUCUUUUUAUCAUAAAUGGCUGUUUUACUGGAAAACUUGAUAUGUACUGUCUUUCACAUUCUUUUGUGCUGAAUGGUCUCUGAAAACUGCAAUCAUCAACUAUAGAUAACCCAUUCCUCAGCGCCGCCAGAGCCGACCUUGUUGUUUCUGUUCUUGAACUUGCCUGUGUCAUCAAAGGCAGUGAGCAUUUAUCAAUGUUAUAAAAAUGGCAUAUCGAAGUCAGAUUUUACUUGACAAUACACAAAUGUAAGAAGAUAAUUCACCUUUGAUACUCUUUAGAACGCUCGAGAAACUCUUUCGCGAUGUCUUUUCUUUAAUAUGAUUGCAAUACUUGUCUGAUAUCAGCCGGACCAUUGUGUUAGUACAAAACUCCGGUAAGGAAAAAAACUCGAACACACGAUCGGAACUCGAAAAGAAAAAGAAGAAAUAGGACAGGCUCCAAGGCGUGUAUCAAGCCACUAUCUUUAAGGUUAUAUUCGCCCCCACUUAUCUUCAGUGUGCAAACGAGUUCCAAGCAAAUUAACCUCGAGGAUACAAUGAAGCCAAUGACUAUUUGCGUUUUGCACUGACGAGAAUAGUCCACUAUACACUAAGUAAUGUAUAACAAAAACUCAAUUUCUACAAAGGAUUUCUGCAGCAAUACUUUAUAGAAUAAUCUAAUAAUAUUAGAAAAUGAAGGAAGAGAAGAAAUAAUAUUAGAAUUUGUUGAUAUGAUUUCCAAAUGAAAUCCCAUUCCUAUUUAUAGGAAUUUUCAUGUCUCUUCAUAGAGACAUCUUUCAAUAGGUGUCUUUAUGAAUAAAUAAAUAAUAAUAAUUAUUCAUUUAAUUUUGUAACUAUUCAAAUAAUAUUUUUUGAAUAGUUAUAAUUCUUUUUUAAAAAAUCAAAUGAUAUAACUUUUGACCAAUGACCAAAAGUUUUAUCUUUUGAUUAAUUACACCCAUUCAUUUAUAGUUAUUGGGAUACUAUAAAUAUUUGAAAAUAUUCCAACAAUCUCCCCCCAUUUUCAAAAUAUUUAGAUUUUGAUAUUCUUGGAAAUCAAUUUGCAUAAAUAAAGGUGUCUUACGAUUGAACCUUCACUUAGUGAAAACAUGUUAAAGUUAAUCGAAAUUGUAUGGUAGACUAAGCUUUGAACCAACUAUUCCAUUUGAUUAAUUGAACACAUCUCACACAAUGAUUUCAACAUCAGUCAAUGCAUAGUAUCUAGGGACACUAUUAUAGCCAUGUGUCUAUGUCCUCUUUUCAUGAGUGCUGUCAGAGCCAAGCCCUUAAGCUCCUAGAAGCGGCCACACUUCCACUCACAUAGGUAGAUCCCAUCAAAAGUGUUCCCGUAAUUAUAACACUCUAACAUAUUUAUGUUAUGGGUCCAUUAAGAGUAAAUUACUCAUCCUUCCCUUAUCAUUACGGGUACCUAGCACUUUAAUCUUAGGAUGGAUUUAUUUAUAGUGCUAACAGUCACAUACUAAUGAUGUACUUUGUCUCAUUGAACUCAAGACUUGACGUUAUACCAAGCAUUGAGUCGAGUUUCCAUCAUGGGUGACUCUAAUUAAUAGGCUUGAGUCCCAUCCCUUUUGAGGUCCUUUUUACUGCAUCUCUAGCAAGACUUUUUGUCAAAGGAUCUGCCAAAUUUUCACUUGACCUCACAUAAUUAAUAGUGAUCACUCCAUCAGAGAUUAAUUGUCGGACAUAACUAUGUCUUAAUCCAAUGUGUCUAGACUUUCCAUUAUAUACUUGGCUAUAUGCCUUUGCUAGAGUAGCCUCACUAUCACAACGGAUAGAAAUAGGUGAAAUUGGCUUAAGCCAUAAACGUACAUCAUAAAGCAAAUUUCUUAACCAUUCUGCUUCUUUAGAUGCAGCGGCUAAUGCAAUAAAUUCUGCUGCCAUGGUGGAAUCAGUAAUACAUGUUUGUUUCUUGGAACCCUAAGAAAUGACUCCUCCACCAAGAAUGAAGAUCCACCCACUAGUAGAUGCAUGAUCUUCCAAACUUGUAAUCCAACUAGCAUCCGAAUACCCUUCUAAAACUGGAGGAUAUCCAUUAUAACACAAUCCAUAGUUAAUAGUUUUCUUUAAGUACCUAAGUACUCUAUUUAAAGCUUGCCAAUGCAAACUACUUGGAUUAUUUGUGUAUCUACUCAAUUUUCCAAUAGCAUAUGCAAUAUCUGGUCUUGUACAAGUCAUUAUGUACAUAAGAAAACCAAUUGACUUGCAUAUUUCAAUUGAUCAAUUUUCCUACCAGCAUUAGAUACUAAUUUUAAUUGAGGAUCCAUGGGUGUAGAUACUGGUAUACAGUUGAAAAUAUCAAACUUUUUAAGCACAUUUUCAAUGUAAUGUGAUUGUGAUAAAGCUAUAGUGCUUUCAUCUCGGGUUAUUUUAAUCCCAAGAAUAACAUCUUCUACACCCAUAUCCUUCAUAGCAAAGUUGUUUGACAAGAAUUUCUUUGUGUUUUCUAUUUGUUCCAAAUCCGUGCCAAAAAUGAGCAUGUCAUCUACAUAUAAGCAAAUUAUAACACCCUUUCCAUUAUCAAAUUUACUAUAUAUGCACUUAUCGGAUUCAUUUAUUUAUAGCCAUUAGCUAAAACAACCUUGUCAAACUUUUGGUGCCAUUGUUUUGGUGCUUGUUUAAGCCCAUAUAAAGAUUUAACAAGCUUACAUACCUUAUGCUCUUGUCCUGGAACAACAAAUCCUUCCGGUUGCUCCAUGUACACUUCCUCUUCCAAUUCACCAUUUAAAAAUGCAGUUUUAACAUCCAUUUGGUGAACAACCAAAUUAUAUAUAGAGGUAAGUGAUAUUAAUAGUCUAAUUGUAGCAAUUCUUGCUACUGGAGCAUAGGUAUCAAAGUAAUCAAUACCUUGUCUUUGUGUAAAACCUUUUGCUACCAACCUUGCUUUAAAUUUAUCAAUGGUUCCAUCGACCUUCAUUUUCUUUUUGAAGAUCCAUUUACAACCUAUUGGUUUGGAACCUGGUGGAAGAUCAACUAAGAUCCAAGUUUGAUUUCCCAUUAUUGAAUCCAUUUCAUCAUUUAUUGCUUCUUUCCAAAAAGUAGAGUCUUGAGAUUUCACUGCUUCUUCAAAUGUAACAGGAUCAGAUUCGGUAUUAUAACAAUAAGGUAUCUUAUUGCAUAUACUUUCACCUUUUCCUUCUAUAAGAAACAUAAUGAAAUCUGGUCAAAAAUCUUUGACCUUUUUAAUCCUCUUACUUCUUCUUAAUUCUUGACAAGAUUCAUCAUUAUUAUCAAUUUGUUUCAAUGGAAUCUCAUUCUCAUUUGAAGAAUGAAUCAAUUGUUGUGGUUGUAAUUGUCUUGAUAUAGAAUUAAAUCUAUUUUCAUCAAAAAUAGCAUCUCUUGAUUCAAUAACCGUAUUAAUUGAAAUUGAAUCAUUUGGUUCAAUUACUAUGAACCUAUAUGCCUUGCUAUUAUGUGCAUAACCUAUAAAUAUGCAUUCAAUUCCUCUUUCACCUAACUUUUUACGUUUAGGUGUUGGAACUUUUACAAUAGCUCUACAACCCCAAACCUUUAAAUAAUUAAGGUUUGGUUUCCUUUUCUUCCAUUGUUCAUAGAGGGUUAUUUUAGUUUCCUUAUUAGGAACUCUAUUCAAUAUAUGACAAGCUGUUAGAACAGCUUCUCCCCAAAAACCCUGUCCAAGACCUGAAUAUGAUAACAUUGAAUUUACCAUUUCAAUCAAGACUCUAUUUUUCCUUUCAGCUACACCAUUUUGUUGUGGUGUGUAAGGGGCUGAAACUUGAUGGACAAUUCCAGUGAGUUCAAAAUAACUUGGAUUAUAGUAUUCUCCACCUCUAUCCGAUCUUAAGCACUUGAUAAAUGAUUCACACUGAAGUUCAACUUCAGAUUUAUAAACUUUAAAUUUAUCAAGCGCUUCAUCUUUUGAAUGCAAUAAAUAUACAUAACAAUAUCUAGAACAAUCAUCAAUAAAAGUAACAAAAUAUUUCUUUCCACCUAAUGUAGGAGUAUUAUGCAAGUCACAUAAAUCACUAUGUAUCAAAUCAAGCAAUUUUGUUUUCCUUUUAACCUUAGGGAAAGGAUUUCUUGUAAUUUUAGUCAACAUACAGGUAUUGCAUUUUUCAAUAUUAUUAUUAAAAACAGGAAUUAAAUCUAAUUUAUACAUGUCAUUCAAUUUUCUAUAAUUCAAAUGACCUAAUCUAUAAUGCCACAAACAAAAUGAUUCAACCAUAUAAGCAGAAAUAGUAUUUUUAUUCUUAUUAAUAAUAUUAAGUUUGAACAUGCUUUCAUACAUAUACCCUUUUUCCCACAAAAAUUCCUCCCUUAGACAAAAUAAACUUAUCUGCCUCAAAAACAAGUUUGAAACCAAACUUAUUCAACAGACUUCCAGACACUAAAUUUUUCCUAACUUCUGGUACAUAAUAUACAUCAUUUAAGGUUAAAACCUUUCCAGAAGUGAAUUGUAGUUCAACAGACCCUUUGCCUUUAAUUUGCGGUGGAAGAAUUUCCCAUGUACAAGACAUUGUCAUUUUCACAUUGUGUGACUUUGUGAACAUGCUUUUGUCUUUGCACACAUGUUUGGUUGCUCCGGUAUCAAUCCACCAUGUAUUAUCAUCUUGUACCAUAUUAAUUUCAGAUAUCAUUGCAACGAACUUUUCGUUAUUAUCAGCCUUAGAAGAUGAUUUCUUCUUUAAAAAUCGAUAUUCAUUCUUGAAAUGUCCCGGCUUUCCACAAUGAUAGCAUGAGCCCUUUUGUUUCUUUUUGAACUUAGGUGCUCUAUCAGCCUGAUUGAACUUUCUUUUGAAUGGUUUAGUAGUCUGUACUUCCUCCGUAACAUGUACUUUGGCAUUUUCAGAAUUUAGGUUCUGAUCUUGUUGUCGAUACUCUUCUUCAAUACGAAGAUGAUUUGCCAAAGCCUCAAGAGAUAUUUCCUCUUUCUUAUGUUUUAGACUUCUUUUAAAGUCUUUCCAAGAUGGAGGAAGUUUGUCUAUUAUAGAGGAUACCACAAUUAUUUCAUCCAUUUUCAUAUCAUAUUGCUUAAAUUGAUUCAACAUCUUUUCAAUAUCACGAAAUUGUUCCAUAACAGAACGACCAUCAACCAUUUGAUAAUUAUUGAAACGACUGACAAGAAAUUUCUUACUUGUAACAUCUUCGGUCAUGUAUCUUGCCUCCAAUUUGUCCCAUAAAUCUUUAGCGGUGACGUCGUUUUGGUAGGUGUCGAACAAACCAUCAGAUAAACCAUUCAAUAUGUGGCCCAUGCACAUGUAAUCAGCAUUGUCCCAUUUUUGUCUUUCUCGGGUUGCAGCAAUAGAUUCGUUUUCAUUCUCUUCAGGUCUUGGAGUAUCCAAAACAUAAGCAAUCUUCAAAGUUGAUAACAAAAAGUGCAUCUUUUUCUGCCAUCGUCGAAAAUUGCCACCAUCAAAACGAUCAAGUUUAACAAAGUUGGAAGCCAACUCCCUUAGUGUUCCACUUUCAUGUGUUGUGGUAGUCAUCAUGAAAUAUAACCUUAAAAUUGUUAGUACAAAACUCCGGUAAGGAAAAAAACUCGAACACACGAUCGGAACUCGAAAAGAAAAAGAAGAAAUAGGACAGGCUCCAAGGCAUGUAUCAAGCCACUAUCUUUAAGGUUAUAUUCGCCCCCACUUAUCUUCAGUGUGCAAACGAGUUCCAAGCAAAUUAACCUCGAGGAUACAAUGAAGCCAAUGACUAUUUGCGUUUUGUACUGACGAGAAUAGUCCACUAUGCACUGAGUAAUGUAUAACAAAAACUCAAUUUCUACAAAGGAUUUCUGCAGCAAUACUUUAUAGAAUAAUCUAAUAAUAUUAGAAAAUGAAGGAAGAGAAGAAAUAGUAUUAGAAUUUGUUGAUAUGAUUUCCAAAUGAAAUCCCAUUCCUAUUUAUAGGAAUUUUCAUGUCUCUUCAUAGAGACAUCUUUCAAUAGGUGUCUUUAUGAAUAAAUAAAUAAUAAUAAUUAUUCAUUUAAUUUUGUAACUAUUCAAAUAAUAUUUUUUGAAUAGUUAUAAUUCUUUUUUAAAAAAUCAAAUGAUAUAACUUUUGACCAAUGACCAAAAGUUUUAUCUUUUGAUUAAUUACACCCAUUCAUUUAUAGUUAUUGGGAUACUAUAAAUAUUUGAAAAUAUUCCAACACAUUGCGGGCUACAUCUGUGAACAAAUCAAAACAAAUGGUACUAUAAUCAACAAAUGAAUAUAGGAAACAUAAAAUUUGAACAAAGGCGAUGUGCAGAGGAAAAAGCAACAACAUAAGACUUACAUUCAAGAAAUGGAAUAAGGUCUAAAAGUGCGGUAUCAUCAGUCUCGACCUUAUAUGGCUUAAUAUGGACACAAUUUUCUGGUUGAAGGCUAGAAUCAAAUGCAUGAGCACUCACAUAUAAAAUCUUGGUUGGAUCCCUGUUUAGCUUUGAAAGAUCCUGCCAACAGGAACUAUUUGUUAACAAUAAGGCUUCUUUUUAAGUAGCAGCUUGUAAAGGCACUGUCUCAUAUAUUAAUUCACAUAGUAUUGUAGAAACUAAGGAGGAGAAAACCAAAAGCAAAAUGUUUUGAAGGGAAGAGAUUGACUAUGACAUGGUAAAAGUAUCAUGGAGGCCCCUAUGUUAGGAGUUAGAUUGCCUUUUGCCCCCUUUACUCAAAAACUGGAUAAAUUAGUCCCUAUAUGUUAGAUUAAAGAGUAAGCUAGACUUUCUGUUAAAAAUUUCAUCCAUUGCUACUGUUAAAAACUGGUGCAGUUGAUAAAAUAACCAAACAGUUACACAUAAUGUGUCACGUGUACCUCAUGCUAAUGUAUAUGGACCAAUUUUUAACAGUAGAAAUGGAUGGAACUUGUAACAGAAGGGCUGGUUUGCUUUUUAAUCUAAUUUACAGGGAUUAAUUUGCCCAUUUUUUUAGUAAAGGGGUGAAAUGCAAUAUGACUCCUAGUAUAAGGGCCUCCAUGGUACUUUUACCACUAUGACAUACUCUAUAAUGCUUGCCAUCCUGAUAUUUAGUAGCACCCCUUGAUAGCCUAUAUCGUAUACAAUGGUUAGUGUCCAACCUUUCACAAGCAGGAUCAACAUACCGCAUAGCCAAAAACAAAAUAAUUAUGAACUUGCAGGCAACAUCAGUUAUAGUAUAUCUGAAAAAGAUAAGGAAAAAAAACUGUUACUUUCAUAUCUAAUUUCUUUAUAGUAUUAGGACAAACUAAACAAUGGAUAUAUCACAUUAUUAAGACUUAGCUAAGGAGCCGCUGAUAUACAUUCAAAUGAUCAAUCAUAAAGGAUGAACUAGGAGGCCUAAUGAUAAAUCAAAAUUACACCUAAACCAGUUAUAUGUCUAAAGGCAAUUGCACAUUAUAUCAAUCAAACAACUAAAAUAAAUAGAGAAAAUCCUUUAAAAUAUUCAAUUUCUAAACAAAAUCAAACUCACAUCAAUAGCAGAUCUUGACAAAGAAACCCAAAAUCACAAAUGAUCCUAUCUUUUUAAAAGGGGAAAAAGAAAACUUACUAUAAGAGAGAUAACCAGCAUAGCCAGUAGUUCCAGUAACACCUGCAAUGAGUCCGUACUUGACAAAGCUCUAAAUUUUCCCUCCCGAAACCUGUGGGGCAACUUUCGGCGCCAGAGGAGGAGGUGUCGACUGAUCGGAGAGAAUGGAUUGUGAAGAACAAUCCAAACUUAAUUUACAAGCAAUGUGGAAAUUUUGGACGUUGCAGUAUUGACUACGUUUACUUGAGGGAAAACAAAGACAUGAAUGCUGGAAAUUUUAACUAGUUUGUACGGUCAAUGAAGCUACCUCGAAUGUUAAAUAUGUUACUCUGCAAUGCCAUUGUAAAUAUGACUGUUAAAUUUGUUGAUAGCGGAAUUGUUCCACUCAAGUUAUUGUGGGACAAAUCAAGAAUUUGAAGAAAAGUGACAUUGCAUGUUAAACAAGAGACCUCUCCAUUGAAACUAUUAUUUGAGAUCAGAAAGACAUUGAUUGUCGAAGCUGGAAUCGGAAGAUUUCCACGGAUCAAAUAGGAGCUUAAGUCAAGAACUACAAUAUUCUUCCAUGGAAAGUGCAAAACUUCUGUCAAAGAGUUGCUGUAAUUGGAUUAAUCUCAUCGUUGCUGCAAUCUUUUGACAAAUCGAAUCUUAAAUAUGUUACUCUGCAACGCUAUUGUAAAUGUUACUCUUAAAUAUUACUCUGUAACUAGAUUGAUGGCUCAAUCUUGUUUUUAACAUUGUUAUGGGUAUUACUACUUUCAUGCUUUGAUACGCGAUACCCUCUUUCUAGGUGACAUUUUUGCUCCUUCCGGGCCACCAUGGGCUCUCUGCAUCACUCACCAACCUCAUUAGAUUCCCCGGGUGCCAUUUGGCCAUCUCAAGUCUCAAAAUAGCAUCAAAAUGCACUCUAAUAAUUUAUUAAUAUAAAGAACUAAAACAAAAUAAAAACACAACAAAGAUAUCUAAAUUGCACGAAAAUAAGCUUUUAAGUGUGAUGGAGAGUCUAAUUUGACAUAUCAAUUAAUGUUUGACUAUCUCCAUCUCACUUUUUAUUAAUUAAGGAAUAUGAAUUAGAAUUAAUAUAAACUUACUAUUUUAACAUUUCAUAAGCAAAAGCUAAAAUAAUAUUGGUCACAUCCCAUAUCUUCAUAUAUAGCUUAUCAGACAAAAGUUAAAACAGCCUUCAGUUCAUCUACAUUCUACAUUCCACGUCGAAUCUGCAAGCAUCAAAUAUUAACCUUUGAACUCCAAAAUAACAACACCAAUUUCCAGCAAUUGCAGAAGAAUGUCCAAUAAUUCCACACAAAUUAACAACAAUUUGCCAGCAUCCACUACAUUCGUAUGAAUUCCACACAAAUUAAGACUGGAAACUCUAACUUGUUCAUACCCUCAAUGAAGCUACCUAAAAGUUAUGAAUUCCACUGCAAAUUUUGUAUUGCUUGGAAUGAAUUGACUGUAAUUUCCUAUUACUUGCCACAAAAUUUUCUUUUACUGCUAACUUGUAAAAAAAUUAUGAAAAUACAACAGAGAUCAUUGAGACAUUUUGUUCUCCUUUCUCCUUUACUGAGCAGUAGCAAAGAUUAUCGAGACUAAAUUGAAAGUCAUGAAAGAAGACAUAAACAACACCACCAUACAAAAUGUUACACUCAAACAAACCAUUACAGAUAGUACGAAAUGCAAUGAAAGACACAGGAAUUGGUACAACAAUAAAGACAGACACAUACCAAUGCAACCCUUCACCAUAGGCAAAACGGUCUACAGAAUAAGAAAUUAUGAAAAUACAACACUAAUUCUUGAACAUCAUUUCCAGUAAUUAGAUCCUUCUUCGUCUAUUGCUUCGAUUGCCUUUCUUUGACUUUCUUCUUCGCCUCAUCUCUUGUUGGUUUUCAACCAAAUUCACCAACCAUUUCGGCUUACCAAUUUGGAAAACAACAUAUCCCACGGACAUUCCGAACACCACUCUGCAUCCAUAACCUAUCAACACCACUUUCCAACCAAAAGCAAUGUUUGAUUUUGAGCCAUCUUUUUCAAGCGCAUUUGGAGGUGCUGGCUCAAUGAUGUUGCAACCUUUCGAGACCGGAAACCCACACAGUCCAUUAUUCCCUUCAUAUGAAUCAUUUCCAAAUGUGUUGAAUUGUUUUCCUUGAGGAAUCUGACCAUGGAGUUGAUUUUCAGCGACAUUGAAGGACGAAAGAAAUGGCAGAUCUGCCAAUCUAUUUGGAAUCGUCCCAGACAACCUGUUUGAAGAUAGGUCCAACCAUUCAAUACUUGUCAAAUUCCCUAUUGAUGUGGGAUACCACCAUUAAGGUUAUUAUGAGAAAGGUUGAGCCCUUUCAGUAAGUUAAGCUUCCCAAAAACCUUUGGAAUACCCCCUUCAAACUGAUUGUUUGAUAGAUCAAUGAUCAUCCACAUGGUGAAAAUUUUCACCAAUUCCAUAUAUUGUCCUUUCAUAACAGUUCCGAUGGAAUAGGUAUAGAAGCCAUUACCUCUCGGAACAUACAUCCCCAUGUACGACAUUGUACUCCCAAUCUUCUCUAGAUUUAUGAUACCCUUGAAGCUGUUGAUGUAUCUCACUGGUAGGGGUCCAGAAAAAUAAUUACUUGAGAGAAAAAAAAUUUGGAUUUUAGAGAAAAAAGGGCUAGACUUGGAGCUAUUGUCACAUAAGGAACCAUGCAUAUGAUUUGACUUCAAUACAAGAACUUGUAGCUGUGGAAGACUUCCCAACCAAUGAGGAAAUGUAUCAUUGAUCUUGUUCUUCUUCAGAUUCAAGAAUUGAAGGCUGUAGCUCAAAUUUUCAAAACAUUGCGGAAUUGUUCCGCUCAAGUUAUUGUGGGACAAAUCACGAAUUUGAAGAAAAGUGACAUUGCAUAUUAAAGAAGAGACCUCUCCAUUGAAACUAUUAUUUGAGAUCAGAAAGACAUUGAUCGUCGAAGCUGGAAUGGGAAGAUUUCCACGGAUCAAAUUGGAGCUUAAGUCAAGAACUGCAAUAUUCUUCCAUGGAAAGUGCUCAACUUCUGUCAAAGAGUUGUGAGAUACAUUUAAGUCAAAGAGCCAUUGCCCACCUCUUGCAUCCACUGUGGAAUCUUGCCUUCAAUUUUGUUGCAAGAGAGGUCCAAGCUUUCCAAACUUUUAAGCCCUUAUAAAAACUGGGGGAAUUCACUAAGAUUGAAAGAUGACAAACGUAAGUCUAUAAGAUUAGACAAUAUAUGGUUAACACAAGAAGUAGUAUUAAAUGUUAAGGAUAGGCUGUUAUAUGAAAGGUCGAGAAGUUUUAGAGUUGGAAGGUUUGAGAACAUGCGAAACUCUAUGACACCACUAAGAUUAUUUGAGGAUAAAAGGAGGUGGGUAAGAUUGAGAAGUUGGAAUAUUGAAGAUGGAAGAGGACCUUGGAGUUUAUUAUUGUUUAACCUUAUCAAUUCUAGUGUUUUGGAUUGGAAUUCUUUGAUAUGCCCACUGAAUUGUUUUUAGAGAGAUCUAUUGUUUAACCACGUUAUUUUUCAGUGACGGAUCGAGAAAUAAAACUUAGGGGGAGCAGGGGCGAAGUUAGAAAAUUAGUUUGGGGUAAUCGAAAUUAAAUUAUAUAUUUUUAUGAUAGUAAAAAUAGAAUUUCGUCAUUUUAAUAGCCUAUAUCUUUAUAAUUUUUAGAGGAUUAAAUUAAUUUUUUAUCAUUUGAGGGGGGCAAAGUGCAAUUUUACCGUUAUUAAUUUAAAAUUUUAUAAAUUAUAAAUGGCCUAAAUUUUAAAAAAAAAAUCAUUUUAGGGGGUUGAGACCCUGUCAGCCCUCUCCCUAGACCCACCCCUAGUCUUUUUGAUACAAUUUGGCAGUUUAAGUACUUAAUUAGUGCAAAAAAAAAAAAACUAGGGGCUCAAUAGCUUUUUUUUGAAAAAGUUUGAGAGCCUUUUUGAUCCAUUUUGGCAGUUCAAAUGCCCAAUUCAGUGCAAGAAAAGAAGUAGGGGCUUAAUUAUUUUUUUUUAAAAAAAGUUUGAGAGCCUUUUUACACCAUUGAACCUUUUUUAUACUAAUUGGUAGACGCGAAGUUAUAAAUAUUUAAUUGUUAAUGUAAUUUUUAGAAUUUCUAAAGAAUAAUAAUAUUUAAAAUCUUAUAAUUUUUUUUAUUUCAUGUGCAUAAAAAACUUAAAUAAAUAAGUGUUUAGAUUUAGAUUAAUCACGCUGUCCAUUUAUUCAUAUUCAUUCUAGAGGUAUAACUUUUAGUUAUUUUAUAUGUUUUUAUAAUUAAAAAUAAUGGUAUAAAAGUCGAUUAAGUUUUAGCUCAAUUGACAUAGACAUUGUUGUUGAGGAGGACCUAUUGGUAGUUCUAGGCAUUGUGUCAAAAUGAACUAUAUUUGAUAAGAACCUAUAAUGAAAUUAAUGUUAAAAAAAUAAUAGUAUAAAAAGCUAAUAUUUUUAUAAAAGUUUCAUUUUUUUUUCAGUUUUUGGAUUUUUCUCAUAUAAAAUUUUAGAAUUGUUUCUUGAAUUUUUAUAGCUUUUCUUAUUAUGAUGUUAUAUAAUUUUAGAUUUUUAUACAUCUUUAAUAUUUUUUUAGUUUUUUAUUGUUUCUCAAAUAAUGCUUGGUUGAUGUAGCUUGCCAAGUGGUAUCGUGUUAUUGGCUGUCAAUUUCAAUAAUAAAAAAAUUUGGAGUUGAUUAGUUAUGAACUAACUCGAUUAAUCAAUUCUAAAUUUAAGUACUAAUUAAGUCCAAAAAAAGUUCAAAUUUCAAUUCAUGCAAGUUGGAUGGCAAUGAAACGGGAUUGGGGUGCGAAUAUUGUCAAAUUCACUAUUGUUUCAUAGUUGAUGUGUUUUGUCCCAUCACUCACCCCCGCUCCACUAUGGAUGUUUAAUUUUGAAAACCACUCACCCCAUGGAUGUUGGAUGCAUCCAUCCCUGCUUCACGUCGUGCCAUUUCAAUUUAAUUUUUAUUAGUUUUUUUAAAAAUAUUUUCAAUUUUUUUUUAAUUUUAAAAUAUUUUCAAUCUUUUUAAAACUUAUAAAUAUUUAAACAUAAUUAUUCAAGAAAAACAUUUAAACAUAAAACAUAUGAGUUUUUUAUAACAUAUUUUUACCCUUUAAUAGUUAUAAAUAUACAAGGGUCGAAUAGUAAUUUCAAAUAGUGAAAUAGAGUGGAUUGGGACAAACAAUUACCAUAACUGCUACACUUAAUCAUCGUAAAAAAAAAAAAAAAAAAUCUAUUUCAUCCCCGCCCAUAUUCCCUUUUAAAAGGAUCUACUCUAAAUGAAACAAACCAAUUCAAAAUCCAUUUAACAUCCUAAAUUCUAAAACUAAUUUUGAUAUGAAGUCUCAAUUAAAUUCAAGUAAUAAGGUUUUUUGAUAUGGUUUACACUACUAACUUCUAUAUGAAAACAACAACCAUUUCCCAUGAUGUUUGCGGCUUACCAACAAAUCCUUGCAGAUUUUCAACGUAGAAGAAAAUCAUGAAAAUAAAAAAAAAAAAAAAAAAAAAACUCUGGUUGGGAUUUGUUUCAUAUGGAAAACAGAAAACAAAACUUAAGUUAGUCAAAAUUACCAACUCACUGCUGACAACAUUUUUGUUGUAACCAAACAUUUGGAAGAAAAUAAACACAAGAGCACGCCGUUGACCUGUAUUUCUUUUAUUCUUCAAUUCUAUUUCAUCUUUAAGCUGUAACCAAUGAUAAUCAAAUCUUGACUUGCAUAAAAACCAAAGAAAACAAAAUGAAUGCAGCAGAAUUUUCUACCACAAAUGAGUAGUAAUUUACAGAUAAUAAAAUUAUCGAAAAACUAUUGAGAGUCGAAUUUCAUAUUAAUUGUGGUAUCCAUGAACUAGAAUGUAUUAAAAAAAGAAGGAUAUUGACCUUGAGACUACUUGCAAUUUUCAAAAACACUCUCAAUUCCUCUCCCCCUCUUCGGGCACCGGCCCAAGAUCCUGCCAUUGGCUACCACGCCGGCCGCUAGUCGCCAGCGCCGGCGCCGUGCAUGGAGGAGGAGAGUCCAAAAAUAUCCUUUUUUUUUUCUCACAUGCAGAUCCUCGGCCUCCAAACACUCCGACGACGGCUACAAAGGUAAAAAGGCCUCUCAUUUUUUAUUUUUAUAAUGCUUCAAAAUAAAAAAAUAAAAAAAAGGGAAAAAAUCACCUUUAAAAAAAACUGAUUCCUGUUUUUUAUUUCUCUUUGUUUUUUUUUUUCCAAAAGAGAACUCCCUUAAUUUUUCAUCUUUUUUAGCCCUUAAACCUACGUUGUUUAUCAAUAACCUUAAACUUACAUUGUUUACCGGAUGAAAAAUUUAAUAUUUAUUAACUUUGCUAAGGUGCACAUAUGCAAUUUAUUUAAAUCUAAAAACUAUAAAAUAUCUUAAAAUUAAAACUAAAAGUUUUUAAACUACUUGAUUGCUCCUUUCUCCUUUACUGAGCAGUAGCAAAGAUAAUCGAGACUAAAUUGAAAUCCAUGAAAGAAGACAUAAAACACCUCCAUACAAAGUGUCACACUCAAACAAACCAUUACAGAUAGUACGAAAUGCAAUGAAAGACAGAGGAAUUGCUACAAUAACAAAGACAGACACAUACCAAUGCAACCCUUCACCAUAGGCAAAACAAGAAAUUAUGAAAAUACAACACUAGUUCUUGAACAUCAUUUGCAGUAAUUAGAUCCUUCUUCGUCCACUGCUGCGAUUGCCUUUCUUUGACUUUCUUCUUCGCCUCUUCUCAUGUUGGUUUUCAACCAAAUUCACCAACCAUUUCGGCUUUCCAGUUUGGAAAACAACAUAUCCCACCAGCAUUCCGAACACUACUCCGCAUCCAUAACCUAUCAACACCACUUUCCAUUCAAAAGCAAUGUUUGAUUUUGAGCCAUCUUUUUCAAGCACAUUUGGAGGUGCUGGCUCAAUGAUGUUGCAACCUUUCGAGACCGGAAAUCCACAUAGUCCCUUAUUUCCUUCAUAUGAAUCAUUUCCAAAUGUGUUGAAUUGUUUUCCUUGAGGAAUCUGACCAUGGAGUUGAUUUUCAGAAACAUUUAAGGACGAAAGAAAUGACAGAUCUGCCAAUCUAUUUGGAAUCGUCCCAGACAACCUGUUUGAAGAUAGGUCCAACCAUUCAAGACUUGUCAAACUCCCUAUUGAGGAGGGGAUAUCACCAUUAAGGUUAUUAUGAGAAAGGUUGAGCCCUUUCAGUAAGUUAAGCUUCCCAAUAACCUUUGGAAUACCCCCUUCAGACUGAUUGUUUGAUAGAUCAAUGAUCAUCCACAUGGUGAAAAUUUUCACCAAUUCCCUAUCUUGUCCUUUCAUGACAAUUCCAAUGGAAUAGGUAUAGAAGCCACUACCUCGAGAAUCAUUCACCCCCAUGUACGACACCGUACU
rnacentral:lncRNA from 1 species